GUCAUCUUGCCUGUGAGGCAUGGUUCGCAAGCAUCAAGUGAUUCAUAAUCAAGUGAUUCCAAAAGCCCAUCAGCAUGGAGUUUCUUCAUGCGCUUUACAUCAAUAUGACCUAAACGGCAGUGCCGCAAAUAAGUUGCACUAUCAUUAUUAAUUUUUCAUCUUUUGGCUUCAAUAUUAUAAAUAUGUGUAUCACUAUGAUCGAGAUUCAAUAAACCAUCCACCUUGUGUGUAUGACCACAGAAGGUUUUAUUCAUGUAAACAGAAUAACAAUUAUUCUUUGACUUAAAUGAAUAGCUGUAUUGCAAUAUAUAGGAUCCAAUCAUAUUAUGCUCAACACAAACACCAAAUAACAUUUAUUUUAGGUUCAAUACUAAUCCCGAAGGUAAAGGGAGUGUGCGAUGAUGAUCUUAUCAACCUUGGAAUUACUUCCAACACACAUCGUCACCUCGCCCUCAACAAGUCUUUGUUUAUUUUUCAACUCCCGUUUCGAGUUACUACUCUUAGCAACUGAACCAGUAUCAAAUACUAAGGGGUUGCUAUAAACACUAGUAAAGUACACAUCAAUAACAUGUAUAUCGAAUAUACUUUUGUUCACUUUGCCAUCCUUCUUAUCUGCCAAGUAUCUAGGGCAGUUCCACUUCCAGUGACCAUUUCCUUUGCAGUAGAAGCACUUAGCUCUAGGCUUGGGUCUAGCUUUGGGCUUCUUCAUGGGAGUGACAACUUGCUUGCCAUUCUUCUUGAAGUUCCCUUUCUUUCCCUUUCCCUUUUACUUGAAACUAGUGGUCUUGUCAACCAUAAACAUUUGAUGCUUUUCUUGAUUUCUACCUUCGUCGAUUUCAGCAUUACAAAGAGCUCGGGAAUCGUUUUCGUCAUCCCUUGCAUAUUAUAGUUCAUCAUGAAGUUCUAGUAACUUGGUGAUAGUGACUAGAGAACUCUGUCAAUUACUAUCUUAUUUGGAAGAUUAACUCCCACUUGAUUCAAGCAAUUGUAGUACCCAGACAAUCUGGGCACAUGCUCACUGGUUGAGCUAUUCUCCUCCAUCUUGUAGGCAAAGUAUUGUCAGAGGUCUCAUACCUCUCGACACGGGCAUGAGUAUGAAAUACCAAUUUCAACUCUUGGAACAUCUCAUAUGCUCCAUGUCGUUCAAAACAAUUUGAAGUCCCGGUUCUAAUCCGUAAAGCAUGGUGCACUAAACUAUCAAGUAGUCAUCAUACUGAGCUUGCCAAACGUUCAUAACGUCUGCAUCUGCUCCUCCAAUCGGUCUGUCACCUAGCGGUGCAUCAAGGACAUAAUUCUUCUAUGCAACAAUGAGGAUAAUCCUCAGAUCACAGAUCCAAUCCGCAUCAUUGCUACUAUCAUCUUUCAACAUAGUUUUCUCUAGGAACAUAUCAUCAAUAAAACGGGGAAGCUAUACGCGAGCAAUUGAUCUACAACAUAGAUAUGCAAAUACUAUCAGGACUAAGUUCAUGAUAAAUUUAAGUUCGAUUAAUCAUAUUACUAAAGAACUCCCACUUAGAUAGACAUCUCUCUAAUCUUCUAAGUGAUCAUGUGAUCCAUAUCAACAAAACCAUGUCUGAUCAUCACGUGAGAUGGAGUAGUUUUCAACGGUGAACAUCACUAUGUUGAUCAUAUCUACUAUAUGAUUCACGCUCGACCUUUUGGUCUCUAGUGUUUCGAGGCCAUAUCUGCAUAUGCUAGGCUCGUCAAGUUUAACCCGAAUAUUCUGCGUGUGCAAAACUGGCUUGCACCCAUUGUAUGUGAACGUAGAGCUUACCACACCCGAUCAUCACGUGGUGUCUUGGCACGACGAACUGCCACAACGGUGCAUACUUAGGGAGAACACUUAUACUUUGAAAUUUAGUGAGAGAUCAUCUUAUAAUGCUACCGCCGAACUAAGCAAAAUAAGAUGCAUAUAGGAUAAACAUCACAUGAAAUCAAAAUAUGUGACAUGAUAUGGCCAUGAUCAUCUUGCGCCUUUGAUAUCCAUCUCCAAAGUACCGUCAUGAUCUCUAUUGUCACCGGCAUGACACCAUGAUCUCCAUCAUCUUGAUCUCUAUCAACGUGUCAUCACAUGGUUGUCUCGCCAACUAUUACUCUUGCAACUAUUGCUAUCGCAUAGCGAUAAAGUAAAACAAUUAUUUGGCACUUGCAUCUUAUGCAAUAAAGAGACAACCAUAAGGCUCCUGCUAGUUGCCGAUAACUUAAACAAAACAUGAUCAUCUCAUACAACAAUUUAUAUCUCAUCACGUCUUGACCAUAUCACAUCACAACAUGCCCUGCAAAAACAAGUUAGACGUCCUCUACUUUGUUGUUGCAAGUUUUACAUGGCUGCUAUGGGCUGAGCAAGAACCGUUCUUACCUACGCAUCAAAAACCACAACGCGCUAUAGUGAUUGCUUUUUGAUCUUCAGAAAGAACCCUGUUCAUUGAAUCCGACUCAACUAAAGCUGGAGAAACAGACACCCACUAGCCACCUGUGUGCGAAGCACGUCGGUAGAACCAGUCUUGCGUAAGCGUACGCGUAAUGUCGGUCUGGGCCACUUCAUCCAACAAUGCCGCUGAAUCAAGAAUCAACUAGUGACGGCAAGCAAUAUGUAUAUACCCACGCCCAUAACUCCUUUGUGUUCCACUAAUGCAUAUAACAUCUAUGCAUAAACCUGGCUCGGAUGCCACUGUUGGGGAACGCAGUAAUUUCAAAAAAAAUUCUUACGCACACGCAAGAUCAUGGUGAUGCAUAGCAACGAGAGGGGAGAGCUUCGUCCACGUACCCUCGUAGACCGUAAGCGGAAGCGUUAUGAGAACGCGGUUGAUGUAGUCGUACUUCUUCAUGAUCCGAUCGAUCCAAGUACCGAACGUACGACACCUCCGAGUUCAGCACACGUUCAGCUCGGUGAUGUCCCACGAACCCCGAUCCAGCAGAGCUUCGAGGGAGAGCUUCGUCAGCACGAUAGGGUGAUGACGGUGAUGAUGAUGCUACCGACGCAGGGCUUCGCCUAAGCACCGCUACGAUAUGACCGAGGUGGAUUAUGGUGGAGGGGGGCACCGCACAUAGCUAAAAGAUCAAUUGAUCAACUUGUGUGUCCAUGGGGUGCCCCCCUCCCCCGUAUAUAAAGGAGAGGAUGAGGGGGAGGGCCGGCCCUCUACUAUGGCGCGCCCUGGGGAGUCCUACUCCCACCGGGAGUAGGAUUCCCCCCUUCCAUGUAGUAGGAGUAGGAGAGAAGGAAAGGGAAAAGAGAAGAGAAGGAAGGAGGGGGCUCCGCCCCUCUCCCUAGUACAAUUCGGACUAAGCCUUGCGGGGCGCGCAGCCUCCCCUCUCUCUUUCCCCUAAAGCCCAAUAAGGCCCAUAUACUCCCCGACGAAUUCCCGUAACUCUCCGGUACUCCGAUAAAUACCCGAACCACUCAGAACCUUUCUGAUGUCUGAAUUGUUGGGGAACGUUGCAGAAAACAAAAAAUUUCCUACGGUUUCACCAAGAUCCAUCUAGGAGUUCAUCUAGCAACGAGUGGUCGUAUUGCAUCUACAUACCUUUGUAGAUCGCGCGCGGAAGCGUUCAAGAGAACGGGGUUGAUGGAGUCGUACUCGUCGUGAUCCAAAUCACCGAUGGUCCUAGCGCCAAACGGACGGCACCUCCGCGUUCAACACACGUACGGAGCAGCGACGUCUCCUCCUUCUUGAUCCAGCAAGGGGGGAGGAGAGGUUGAUUGAGAUCCAGCAGCACGACGGUGUGGUGGUGGAAGUAGCGGGAUUUCAACAGGGCUUCGCCAAGCGCUGCGGGAGGAGGGAGAUGUGUCACGGGAGGGAGAGGGAGGCGCCAGGGCUUAGGUGUGGCUACCCUCCCUUCCCCCCACUAUAUAUAGGGCCAAUGGAGAGGGGGGUGCGCAGCCUUGGCCCUUCCUCCAAGGAAGGGUGCGGCCAGGGAGGAGUCCAUCCUCCCCAAGGCACCUAGGAGGUGCCUUCCCCCUUUCGGACUCUUCCUUUCCCUUAUCUCUUGGCGCAUGGGCCUCUUGGGGCUGGUGCCCUUGGCCCAUAUAGGCCAAGGCACACACCCCUACAGCCCAUGUGGCCCCCCGGGGCAGGUGGACCCCCUUGGUGGACCCCCGGACCCCUUUCGGCAUUCCCGGUACAAUACCGAUAAUGCGCGAAACUUUUCCGGCGACCAAAACAAGACUUCCCAUAUAUAAAUCUUUACCUCUGGACCAUUCCGGAACUCCUCGUGACGUCCGGGAUCUCAUCCGGGACUCCGAACAACAUUCGGGUUACUGCAUAUACAUAUCCCUACAACCCUAGCAUCACCGAACCUUAAGUGUGUAGACCCUACGGGUUCGGGAGACAUGUAGACAUGACCGAGAUCGCUCUCCGGUCAAUAACCAACAGCGGGAUCUGGAUACCCAUGUUGGCUCCCACAUGCUCCUCGAUGAUCUCAUCGGAUGAACCACGAUGUCGAGGAUUCAAGCAACCCCGUAUACAAUUCCCUUUGUCAAUCGGUAUGUUACUUGCCCGAGAUCCGAUCGUCGGUAUCCCAAUACCUCGUUCAAUCUCGUUACCGGCAAGUCACUUUACUCGUACCGUAAUGCAUGAUCCCGUGAUCAGACACUUGGUCACUUUGAGCUCAUUAUGAUGAUGCAUUACCGAGUGGGCCCAGUGAUACCUCUCUGUCAUACGGAGUGACAAAUCCCAGUCUUGAUCCGUGUCAACCCAACAGACACUUUCGGAGAUACCCGUAGUAUACCUUUAUAGUCACCCAGUUACGUUGUGACGUUUGGUACACCCAAAGCACUCCUACGGUAUCCGGGAGUUACACGAUCUCAUGGUCUAAGGAAAGGAUACUUGACAUUAGAAAAACUCUAGCAAACGAACUAUACGAUCUUAUGCUAUGUUAGGAUUGGGUCUUGUCCAUCACAUCAUUCUCCUAAUGAUGUGAUCUCGUUAUCAAUGACAUCCAAUGUCCAUAGUCAGGAAACCAUGACUAUCUGUUGAUCAAUGAGCUAGUCAACUAGAGGCUUACUAGGGACAUGUUGGUGUCUAUUAUUCACACAUGUAUUAUGAUUUCCGGAUAACACAAUUAUAGCAUGAAUAAAGACAAUUAUCAUGAACAAGGAAAUAUAAUAAUAAUGCUUUUAUUAUUGCCUCUAGGGCAUAUUUCCAACAGUCUCCCACUUGCACUAGAGUCAAUAAUCUAGUUACAUUGUGAUGAAUCGAACACCCAUGGAAUUCUGGUGUUGAUCAUGUUUUGCUCUAGGGAGAGGUUUAGUCAACGGAUCUGCUACAUUCAGGUCCGUAUGUACUUUACAAAUAUCUAUGUCUCCAUCUUGAACAUUUUCACGAAUGGAGUUGAAGCGACGCUUGAUGUGCUUUGUCUUCUUGUGAAACAUGGGCUCCUUGGCAAGAGCAAUAGCUCCAGUGUUGUCACAGAAGAGUUUGAUUGGCCCCGACGCAUUGGGUAUGACUCCUAGGUCGGUGAUGAACUCCUUCACCCAAAUUGCUUCAUGCGAUGCCUCCGAGGCUGCCAUGUACUCCGCUUCACAUGUAGAUCCCGCCACGACGCUCUGCUUGCAACUGCACCAGCUUACUGCCCCACCAUUCAAAAUAUACACGUAUCCAGUUUGUGACUUAGAGUCAUCCAGAUCUGUGUCGAAGCUAGCGUCGACGUAACCUUUUACGACGAGCUCUUCGUCACCUCCAUAAACAAGAAACAUUUCCUUAGUCCUUUUCAGGUACUUCAGGAUAUUCUUGACCGUUGUCCAGUGUUCCUUGCCGGGAUUACUUUGGUACCUUCCUACCAAACUUACGGCAAGGUUUACAUCAGGUCUGGUACACAGCAUGGCAUACAUAAUAGAACCUAUGGCUGAGGCAUAGGGGAUGACACUCAUCUCUUCUAUAUCUUCUGCCGUGGUCGGACAUUGAGCUGAGCUCAAUUUCACACCUUGUAACACAGGCAAGAACCCCUUCUUAGACUGAUCCAUAUUGAAUUUCUUCAAUAUCUUAUCAAGGUAUGUGCUUUGUGAAAGACCUAUGAGGCGUCUUGAUCUAUCUCUAUAGAUCUUGAUGCCUAAUAUAUAUGCAGCUUCUCCAAGGUCCUUCAUUGAAAAACUCUUAUUCAAGUAGGCCUUAAUGCUGUCCAAGAGUUCUAUAUCAUUUCCCAUCAAAAGUAUGUCAUCUACAUAUAAUAUGAGAAAUGCUACAGAGCUCCCACUCACUUUCUUGUAAACACAGGCUUCUCCAUAAGUCUGCGCAAACCCAAACGCUUUGAUCAUCUCAUCAAAGCGAAUGUUCCAACUCCGAGAUGCUUGCACCAGCCCAUAAAUUGAGCGUUGGAGCUUGCACACCUUGUCAGCAUUCUUAGGAUCGACAAAACCUUCCGGCUGCAUCAUAUACAAUUCUUCCUUAAGGAAACCAUUAAGGAAUGCCGUUUUGACGUCCAUUUGCCAUAUCUCAUAAUCAUAGAAUGCGGCAAUUGCUAACAUGAUUCGGACGGACUUUAGCUUCGCUACCGGUGAGAAAGUCUCAUCGUAGUCAACCCCUUGAACUUGUCGAUAACCCUUAGCAACAAGCCGAGCUUUAUAGAUGGUCACAUUACCAUCCGUGUCUAUCUUCUUCUUAAAGAUCCAUUUAUUUUCUAUGGCUCGCCGCUCAACAGGCAAGUCAGUCAAAGUCCAUACUUUGUUUUCAUACAUGGAUCCUAUCUCGGAUUUCAUGGCUUCUAGCCAUUUGUCGGAAUUCGGGCCCGCCAUCGCUUCUUCAUAGUUCGAAGGUUCACUGUUGUCUAACAACAUGAUUUCCAAGACAGGGUUGCCGUACCACUCUGGUGCAGAACGUGUCCUUGUGGACCUACGAAGUUCAGUAGCAACUUGAUUUGAAGUUUCAUGAUCAUCAUCAUUAACUUCCUCUCUAGUCGGUGCAGGCACCUCAGGAACAUUUUCUUGAGUUGCGCCAUUUUCCGGUUCAAGAGGUAAUACUUCAUCAAGUUCUACUUUCCUCCCACUUACUUCUUUCGAGAGAAACUCUUUCUCUAGAAAGGAUCCAUUCUUGGCAACAAAGAUCUUGCCUUCGGACCUGAGGUAGAAGGUAUACCCAAUAGUUUCUUUAGGGUAUCCUAUGAAGACGCAUUUUUCCGACUUGGGUUCGAGCUUUUCAGGUUGAAGUUUCUUGACAUAAGCAUCGCAUCCCCAAACUUUUAGAAAUGACAGCUUAGGUUUCUUCCUAAACCAUAAUUCAUACGGUGUCGUCUCAACGGAUUUCGAUGGAGCCCUAUUUAAAGUGAAUGCGGCAGUCUCUAAAGCAUAGCCCCAAAAAGAUAGCGGUAAAUCGGUAAGAGACAUCAUAGAUCGCACCAUAUCUAAUAGAGUGCGAUUGCGAUGUUCGGACACACCAUUACGCUGAGGUGUUCCAGGCGGCGUGAGUUGUGAAACUAUUCCACAUUUCUUAAGUGUGUGCCAAAUUCGUGACUCAAGUAUUCUCCUCCACGAUCUGAUCGCAAAAACUUGAUUUUUCUGUCACGUUGAUUCUCAACCUCACUCUGAAAUUCCUUGAACUUUUCAAAGGUUUCAGACUUGUGUUUCAUUAAGUAGACAUACCCAUAUCUACUCAAGUCAUCAGUGAGGGUGAGAACAUAACGAUAGCCACCGCGAGCCUCAACACUCAUUGGACCGCACACAUCAGUAUGUAUGAUUUCCAAUAAGUUGGUUGCUCGCUCCAUUGUUCCUGAGAACGGAGUCUUGGUCAUUUUACCCAUGAGGCAUGGUUCGCACGCGUCAAAUGAUUCGUAAUCAAGAGACUCUAAAAGUCCAUCAGCAUGGAGCUUCUUCAUGCGUUUGACACCUAUGUGACCAGGGCGGCAGUGCCACAAGUAUGUGGGACUAUCAUUAUCAAUCUUACAUCUUUUGGUACUCACACUAUGAACAUGUGUAGCAUUAUGCUCGAGAUUCAUUAAGAAUAAACCAUUCACCAUCAGAGCAUGACCAUAAAACAUAUCUCUCAUAUAAAUAGAACAACCAUUAUUCUCGGAUUUAAAUGAGUAGCCAUCUCGUAUUAAAUGAGAUCCCGAUACAAUGUUCAUGCUCAAAGCUGGCACUAAAUAACAAUUAUUGAGGUUUAAAACUAAUCCCGUAGGUAAAUGCAGAGGUAGCGUGCCGACGGCGAUCACAUCGACCCUGGAACCAUUCCCGACGCGCAUCGUCACCUCGUCCUUCGCCAGUCUCCGCUUAUUCCGCAGCUCCUGCUUUGAGUUACAAAUGUGAGCAACUGCACCGGUAUCAAAUACCCAGGAGCUACUACGAGUACUGGUAAGGUACACAUCAAUUACAUGUAUAUCACAUAUACCUUUUGUUUUGCCGGCCUUCUUGUCUGCUAAGUAUUUGGGGCAGUUCCGUUUCCAGUGACCACUUCCCUUGCAAUAAAAGCACUCAGUCUCGGGCUUGGGUCCAUUCUUUGGCUUCUUCCCGGCAGCUUGCUUGCCGGGCGCGGCAACUCCCUUGCCGUCCUUCUUGAAGUUCUUUUUACCCUUGCACUUCUUGAACUUAGUGGUUUUAUUCACCAUCAACACUUGAUGUUCCUUUUUGACUUCUACCUCUGCUGAUUUCAGCAUUGCAAAUAAUUCGGGAAUGGUCUUUUCCAUCCCCUGCAUAUUGAAGUUCAUCACAAAGCUCUUGUAGCUUGGUGGAAGCGACUGAAGGAUUCUGUCAAUGACUGCAUCAUCCGGGAGAUUAACUCCCAGCUGAGUCAAGCGGUUAUGUAACCCAGACAUUGUAAGUAUGUGCUCAUUGAUAGAACUAUUUUCCUCCAUCUUACAGCUGAAGAAUUUGUCAGAGACUUCAUAUCUCUCGACCCGGGCAUGAGCUUGAAAAACCAUUUUCAGCUCUUCGAACAUCUCAUAUGCUCCGUGUCUCUCAAAACGUUUUUGGAGCCCCGGUUCUAAGCUGUAAAGCAUGCCGCACUGAACGAGGGAGUAAUCAUCAGCACGUGUCUGCCAAGCGUUCAUAACGUCUUGGUUCUGUGGGACGGGUGCGUCACCUAGCGGUGCUUGUAGGACAUAAUCUUUCUUGGCAGCUAUGAGGAUGAUCCUCAGGUUUUGGACCCAGUCCGUAUAGUUGCUGCCAUCGUCUUUUAGCUUGGUUUUCUCUAGGAACGCGUUGAAGUUGAAGACAACGUUGGCCAUUUGAUCUACAAGACAUAUUGUAAAGUUUUAGACUAAGUUCAUGAUAAUUAAGUUCAUGUAAUCAAAUUAUUCAAUGAACUCCCACUCAGAUAGACAUCCCUCUAGUCAUCUAAGUAUAACAUGAUCCGAGUUAACUAGGCCGUGUCCGAUCAUCACGUGAGACGAACUAGUCAACGUCGGUGAACAUCUUCAUGUUGAUCGUAUCUUCUAUAUGACUCAUGCUCGACCUUUCGGUCUUCUGUGUUCUGAGGCCAUGUCUAUACAUGCUAGGCUCAUCAAGUCAACCUAAGUGUUUGCAUGUGUAAAUCUGUCUUACACCCGUUGUAUGUGAACGUUGGAAUCUAUCACACCCGAUCAUCACGUGGUGCUUCGAAACAACGAACUGUCGCAACGGUGCACAGUUAGGGGGAACACUUUCUUGAAAUUAUUAUGAGGGAUCAUCUUAUUUACUACCGUCAUUCUAAGCAAACAAGAUGUACAAAACAUGAUAAACAUCACAUGCAAUCAAAUAAUAAUAGUGACAUGAUAUGGCCAAUAUCACAUAGCUCCUUUGAUCUCCAUCUUGGGGCUCCAUGAUCAUCUUGUCACCGGCAUGACACCAUGAUCUCCAUCAUCAUGAUCUCCAUCAUCGUGUCUCCAUGAAGUUGCUCGCCAACUAUUACUUCUACUACUACGGCUAACGCGUUUAGCAAUAAAGUAAAGUAAUUUACAUGGCGUUUCUCAAUGACACGCAGGUCAUACAAAAAAUAAAGACAACUCCUAUGGCUCCUGCCGGUUGUCAUACUCAUCGACAUGCAAGUCGUGAUUCCUAUUACAAUAGCAUGAACAUCUCAUACAUCACAUAUAUAUCACUCAUCAUUCAUCACAACUUUGGCCAUAUCACAUCACAGAACACUUGCUGCAAAAACAAGUUAGACGUCCUCUAAUUGUUGUUGCAAGUUUUACGUGGCUGCAAUAGGGUUCUAGCAAGAACGUUUUCUUACCUACGUGAAAGCCACAACGUGAUUUGUCAAGUUCUAUUUACCCUUCAUAAGGACCCUUUUCAUCGAAUCCGCUCCAACUAAAGUGGGAGAGACAGACACCCGCCAGCCACCUUAUGCAACUUGUGCAUGUUAGUCGGUGGAACCGGUCUCACGUAAGCGUACGUGUAAGGUUGGUCCGGGCCGCUUCAUCCCAUAAUACUGCUGAAGCAAGAUAAGACUAGUAGCGGCAAGAAAGUUGACAACAUCUACGCCCACAACAAAUUGUGUUCUACUCGUGCAAAGAGAACUACGCAUAGACCUAGCUCAUGAUGCCACUGUUGGGGAACGUUGCAGAAAACAAAAAAUUUCCUACGGUUUCACCAAGAUCCAUCUAGGAGUUCAUCUAGAAACGAGUGGUCGGAUUGCAUCUACAUACCUUUGUAGAUCGCGCGCGGAAGCGUUCAAGAGAACAGGGUUGAUGGAGUCGUACUCGUCGUGAUCCAAAUCACCGAUGGUCCUAGCGCCGAACGGACGGCACCUCCACGUUCAACACACGUACAGAGCAGAGACGUCUCCUCCUUCUUGAUCCAGCAAGGGGGGAGGAGAGGUUGAUGGAGAUCCAGCAGCACGACGGCGUGGUGGUGGAAGUAGCGGGAUUUCAACAGGGCUUCGCCAAGCGCUGCGGGAGGAGGGAGAUGUGUCACGGGAGGGAGAGGGAGGCACCAGGGCUUAGGUGUGGCUGCCCUCCCUUCCCCCCACUAUAUAUAGGGCCAAGGGAUAGGGGGGUGCGCAGCCUUGGCCCUUCCUCCAAGGAAGGGUGCGGCCAGGGAGGAGUCUAUCCUCCCCAAGGCACCUAGGAGGUGCCUUCCCCCUUUUGGACUCUUCCUUUCCCUUAUCUCUUGGCGCAUGGGCCUCUUGGGGCUGGUGCCCUUGUCCCAUAUAGGCCAAGGCGCACACCCCUACAGCCCAUGUGGCCCCCCAGGGCAGGUGGACCCCCUUGGUGGACCCCCGGACCCCUUUCGGCAUUCCCGGUACAAUACCGAUAAUGCGCGAAACUUUUCCGGCGACCAAAACAAGACUUCCCAUAUAUAAAUCUUUACCUCCGGACCAUUCCGGAACUCCUCGUGACGUCCGGGAUCUUAUCCAGGACUCCGAACAACUUUCGGGUUACCGCAUACUAAUAUCUCUAUAACCCUAGCGUCACCGAACCUUAAGUGUGUAGACCCUACGGGUUCGGGAGACACGUAGACAUGACCGAGACGACUCUCCGGCCAAUAACCAACAGCGGGAUCUGGAUACCCAUGUUGGAUCCCACAUGCUCCUCGAUGAUCUCAUCGGAUGAACCACGAUGUCAAGGAUUCAAUCAAUCCCACAUACAAUUCCCUUCGUCAAUCGGUAUGUUACUUGCCCGAGAUUCGAUCGUCGGUAUCCCAAUACCUUGUUCAAUCUCGUUACCGGCAAGUCACUUUACUCGUACCGUAAUGCAUGAUACCGUGACCAGACACUUGAUCACUUUGAGCUCAUUAUGAUGAUGCAUUACCGAGUGGGCCCAGUGAUACCUCUUCGUCAUACGGAGUGACAAAUCCCAGUCUUGAUCCGUGUCAACCCAACAAACACUUUCGGAGAUACCCGUAGUAUACCUUUAUAGUCACCCAGUUACGUUGUGAUGUUUGGUACACCCAAAGCACUCCUACGGUAUCCGGGAGUUACACGAUCUCAUGGUCUAAGGAAAGGAUACUUGACAUUGGAAAAACUCUAGCAAACGAACUAUACGAUCUUAUGCUAUGUAUAGGAUUGGGUCUUGUCCAUCACAUCAUUCUCCUAAUGAUGUGAUCUCGUUAUCAAUGACAUCCAAUGUCCAUAGUCAGGAAACCAUGACUAUCUAUUGAUCAACGAGCUAGUCAACUAGAGGCUUACUAGGGACAUGUUGGUGUCUAUUAUUCACACAUGUAUUACGAUUUCCGGAUAACACAAUUAUAGCAUGAAUAAAGACAAUUAUCAUGAACAAGUAAAUAUAAUAAUAAUGCUUUUAUUAUUGCCUCUAGGGCAUAUUUCCAACAUGAAUAUAGCCUUCCAAUAUAUCGAUCUUUACGUCUUGAACAUUUUGGGACUCCUCGUCAUGUCCCUGAUCUCAUUCGGGACUCCGAACAACCUUCGGUACAUCAAAACACAUAAACUCAUAAUAUCGAUCGUCACCGACCGUUAAGCGUGCGGACCCUACGGGUUCGAGAACUAUGUAGACAUGACCGAGACUCGUCUCAGGUCAAUAACCAAUAGCGGAACCUGGAUACUCAUAUUGGUUCCUACAUAUUGUACGAAGAUCUUUAUCAGUCAAACCGCAUAACAACAUAUGUUGUUCCUUUUGUCAUCGGUAUGUUACUUGCCCGAGAUUCGAUCGUCGGUAUCUCAAUACCUAGUUCAAUCUCGUUGUGGCAAGUCUCUUUACUCGUUCCGUAAUGCAUCAUCACGCAACUAACUCAUUAGUCACAAUGCUUGCAAGGCUUAUAGUGAUGUGCAUUACCGAGAGGGCCUAGAGAUACCUCUUUGAUACUCGGAGUGACAAAUCAUAAUCUCGAUCUAUGCCAACUCAACAAACACCAUUGGAGACACCUGUAGAGCACCUUUAUAAUCACCUAGUUACAUUGUGACGUUUGGUAGCACACAAAGUGUUCCUCCGGUAUUCGGGAGUUGCAUAAUCUCAUAGUCAUAGGAACAUGUAUAAGUCAUGAAGAAAGCAAUAGCAACAAACUAAAUGAUCAUCGUGCUAAGCUAACAGAUGGGUCAAGUCAAUCACAUCAUUCUCUAAUGAUGUGAUCCCGUUAAUCAAAUGACAACUCAUGUCUAUGGCUAGGAAACUUAACCAUCUUUGAUUCAACGAGCUAGUCAAGUAGAGGCAUACUAGUGACACUCUGUUUGUCUAUGUAUUCACACAUGUACUAAGUUUUCGGUUAAUACAAUUCUAGCAUGAAAAAUAAACAUUUAUCAUGAUAUAAGGAAAUAUAAAUAACAACUUUAUUAUUGCCUCUAGCAUAUUUCCUUCACUUUGUUCAUAACGAUCAUCUCUACUCAUUCUCUCUCUUGGAGGUGAUUCAUCUCUUCUACUUCUCCUUUUUGGUGAGUCUUCUAUUUUCUUGUAGGGAGUUGUACACUCAUUGGAGUAGUGUCCGGGUCUUCCACAAUUGUAGCAAUUACGAUCACGACUAGAAGAUCUUUUGCCAUUGCAGGACCUUGACUUGGAGUUUCUCCCUUUGCUUCCAUUCUUGUAGAAUUUGUUGAAGUUCUUCACCAUUAAGCUCAAUUCUUCAUUGGAGACUUGCUUCUCACUUGAUGUUGUAGGGGCAUCACUUGAGGCUUUGUAAGCGCCACUUGACUUAUUGUGAAGCUCUUCCUUGUCCAUGAGUGACAUCUCAUGAGCAACAAUUCUACCAAGGACUUUUGUAGGCUUGAGAUCUUUGUAAUUGGGCAUCAUUUGGAUCAAGGUGCACACGGUAUCAUAUUUUCCAUCCAAGGCUCUAAGGAUCUUUUUGAUGAUGAAUUUGUUGGUCAUCUCUUCACUUCCUAAGCCGGCAAUCUCAUUUGUGAUGAGAGCAAACCUAGAGUACCUUUCCGCGACCCCUUCACCAUCCUUCAUAUUGAACUCAUCAAGUUGACUUUGAAGCACAUCCAACUUGGAUUCCUUGAUGGACUCGGUACCUUCGUGUAUAUCAACCAAAGUAUCCCAAACUUUCUUUGCAUUCUCAAGGCGGCUGAUUUUGUUGAGUUCUUCGGGGCACAAUCCAUUGAAGAGAAUAUUGCAAGCUUGAGCAUUGUAUUGCAACAUCUUCAUUUCUUCCACUUUCACGUCAUGAUCUGGUUAUUUACCAUCCUCUAAGAAAUCACCUUGCAAGCCAAUACGCACAACAACCCAAACGACGGGGUUAUGACCAAGAAUAUGAAUUUUCAUCUUAUGCUUCCAACAAGCAAAAUUUGUACCAUGAAAAUAAGGACCUCUACAGUGGUAAUUUCCCUCGCUAGAUGCCAUACUCUUCUAGGUUGUGAAACCAAGGCUGUGAUCACCAAAGCUCUGAUACCACUUGUAGGAUCGAAAAUAUGUCUAGAGGGGGUGAUUAGACUACUUGACCAAAUAAAAAUCUAUCAUUUUCCCAAUUUUAGUUGUGGGCAGAUUUUAGCAAUUAGCACAAGUCAAGCAAUUAACCUACACAUGCAAUUCUAAGAGUAUAGUAGCGGAAAGUAAAACAUUGCAUAUGAAGGUAAAGGGAAGGGUUCAGAGAAGGCGAACGCAAUGGAGACACGGAGAUUUUUGGUAUGGUUCUGAAUUCCGAUAGGUGGUGCUAUCGUACGUCCAUGUUGAUGGAGACUUCAACCCAUGAAGGGUAAUAGUUGCGCGAGUCCACAGAGGGCUCCACCCACGAAGAAGCAACCUUGUCUAUGCCACCAUGGCCAUCGUCCAUGAAGGAUUUGCCUCACUCGGGUAGAUCUUCAUGAAGUAGGCGACCUCCUUGCCCUUACAAACUUAUUGGUUCAACUCCACAUCACAACGGAGGCUCCCAAGCGACACCUAACCAAUCUAGGAGACGCCACUCUACAAAAGGUAAUAGAUGGUGUGUAGAUGAUGAAAUCCUUGCUCUUGUGCUUCAAAUGAUAGUCUCCCCAACACUCAACUCUCCCUAUCAGAUUUGUCUAUGGUGGAAGAGAGAUUUAAGUGGAAAGCAACUUGGGGAAGGCUAGAAAUCAAGGUUCAAAAGGUUGGAUUGGAACCUCUUGACCUCAACACAUGAGUAGGUGGCUCUUUCUCAGAAAAUGAUGGUGGAAGUGUAGGCAUGUUCUAAUGGCUCUCUCACAAAUGGAGAAGGGGUGGAGGGGUAUAUAUAGCCUCCACACAAAAUCCAACCAUUACACACAUUUGACUCAUCUCGGUGGCACCGAAUAGUUAAACUCGAUGGCAUUGAUCAGUUAAAAAAUGUGAACAUUAGGAAUCUCGGUGGGACCGACUAGAACAACUCAGUGGGACCGAUGUCCUAUGGCUUAGGGCAAACAUCAUUUCGAUGGCGCCGAUUGCAACAACUCGGUGGGACCGAAGUGAAGCAAUAAGCAACAGAGAAUCUAUCAAGCCAACUCGGUGAGACCGAUUGCAUAAACUCGACGAGACCGAAGCAAAUACAAUAGAUCACAGAGCGCUGGCAAGGCCAUCUCGGUGAGACCGAGAUUCGUAUUUGUGUGACCGAACUGUUAGGAUUUCUAGCAGUGGCUAUGUCAUAUGAACUCGAUGGCUCCAUAUAGAAAGAAUCGGCGGGGCCGAGUUUGGAUUUAAGUUUUGGACAUAUUUGGAUGGAGAAAGUGGCUGAGAGUUUUGGAGCAAUAUCACUAAGCAUUUGAGCAAAUAGACCAUUAAGCAACACCUCUUCCCAUUUUAAUAGUAUUGGCUUUCAUAUGGACUCAAUGUGAUCUUCGAUCACUAAAAUAGAAAUGAAGAGUCUUGAGCUUUUGCCAAUCUUUGUCCUUAUCAUUUUGAGGGUUCCAUAUCUCUAUGCCAUGCCAAUCAUUAAACUUUCUGAAAUAUUUAUCUUGAGUGGAUAUUAGUUCAAUGAGAUAUAUGUUGUUAUGAAUUACCAAAAUCACCUGAGGAUUAGUUGCACUUUCAGCCGGGUCUCGUCACAAGGUCGCCGACGCCCAGAUGUGCAUGCGCAAUCACGUCUUCGUCUACCACUACUGUGUGGCCACAAGUCCUUGCGAGCAUUUCACCAGGUUUGUCAACGGCCCCCACUACAUGUUCACUACAGUGGACAUCACCAACGAUGUAAAGGUGUUCAAGAAUUCGGGCAUCGCCUGCCAGAAUCUUGUCGACAUACAGGGCCAACACAAGAUCUGGGGCAGCAAGACGCAUGAGAAGGACUCACUGGUUCACCUCGCCGAGGCCAUCGUCGACCCUACUAUAGAGACAUGAAGGAUUCCUGCAACAAGGACAAAGCGUGCCUGCACUUGGCCUGGAUGGAGAAACUCGACAAAGCUCAUGUUCUGUACGCGACCAAGGAGACAUAUAUGAGGUACGAGAUGUAUAGGCAGAUCGUUGACAUGAGGAAGUGCCUCCUUCCCCCAAAUGGGGAUCCAGCCGAAAGCAUAGCAAUGGAAAACGUUGUCACAAUAAGAAGUAGAUAAUUAGAUGAUCAUUUCUCCUAGUUUAGUAUGCAUGUAAUUGUUUACUUUGGUGUGUGAAAAUGUUAUGUGUGUAGUCACUUAUGUGAUUGUAUGUUUAAUUUGGUUAUGCAGUCAUGUUCUUAUAAGUAUAUAUGUUGUUCUUCUGUAGACAGAGCGUAGAUGUUGUGCGGACAGAGCAAAUCACAUCACACACGGACUAAACUAGGGAAGUCAUCGGUGAUUAUUUCAUCAAUCGCUGAAAAUUGUAUACCAGCAAGAUUUGCCCACAACACACACGGCUUGUUAGCAGGAAUCGUCUUCGUUGUUAUAUGUCUUCCCACACAUUUUUGAUUACUGACCCGUUUGCCGCAUAUCACACACAUCUUGUUAACUUGAAAGGAUCGAUAUGGUUGACUAGAGGGGGUGAAUAGGCAACUAACAAUUUUUAACUUUUCUUUACCAAAUUAAACAUUGCAUCAAAGUAGGUUGUCUAGACAUUCAACUAGGUGAGCAACCUAUAUGAUGCAACAACAACAAGCACACAAGCAAGCAAGGGAAGAAACACAAAUAAGCUUGCACAAGUAAAGGUACGAGAUAACCAAGAGUGGAGCCAGUGAAGACGAGGAUGUGUUACCGAAGUUCCUUCCUUUUGAGGGGAAGUACGUCUCCGUUGGAGCGGUGUGGAGGCACGAUGCUCCCCAAGAAGCCACUAGGGCCACCGUAUUCUCCUCACGCCCUCACACAAUGUGAGAUGUCGUGAUUCCACUAUUGGUGCCCUUGGAGGCGGCGAUCGGACCUUUACAAACAAGGUUGGGGCAAUCUCCACAACUUAAUCGGAGGCUCCCAACAACACCACGAAGCUUCACCACAAUGGACAAUGGCUCCAUGGUGACCUCAACCGUCUAGGGUGCUCAAACACCCAAGAGUAACAAGAUCCGCUAGGGAUUAGUGAGGGAAUCAAAUUUCUCUUGGCGGAAGUGUAGAUCGGGGCCUUCUCAACCAAUCCCGAGCAAAUCAACAAGUUUGAUUGGCUAGGGAGAGAGAUCGGGUGAAAAUGGAGCUUGGAGCAUUAAUGGAGCUUUUGGGGGAAGAGGUAAGUCAACUUUGGGGAAGAAGACCCCCUUAUAUAGUGGGGGAAACAAUCCAACCGUUACCCCCCUGAACAGCCCCGCAAAGGGCGGUACUACCGCUGAGGGCCGCGUUACUAUCACUGGGACUGCGGUACUACCGCUCCCCCACGCGGUACUGCCGUUCAGACCCCUGUGCGGUACUACUGCGGUGGUAGGGCGGUACUACCACUCUCGAGCGGCACUACCACAUCUAUUGACGUUGCUUAGUGCCACACAAUCCGACACAAGAGGCGACCCCCUCGAAUCGACGCGGUAGGAGCCCGGUGCCGCAGCGGUAUUACAGCGAGGACCCACAGGCGGUACUGCUGCGGUUGGGAGCGGUACUACCGCCUGUGGCUCUUGAGCGGUACUACCGCUGGGAACCGUGGUACUACCGUUGGGACCCAAAACAAGCACAAAGGAAGGGGAAUGAGCUCUCCAUUGAAGCGGAAAGGCUCAGAGGGUGUGAAAAAGGAUGUGUACGUGUUGAUUCCACCCUAGCCUUACCAAAGCGGACCCCCUCUUGAUAGUACGGUGCCUCCUACGAAACUAGUCCACCAAAAUAGAAAUGAAAGAGCUACACCGUCUUGAAUAACACUCCGAGGGGAAAGAAAUCAUCUCGUGCCAAAGGAUGAAACUCUGAAAUGCACAAAGCACACGAUUAGUCUGCAAACAUGUUGUCAUCAAUCACCAAAACUACAUCGAGAGAGAUAUGCCUUAACAAUCUCCCCCUUUUUGGUGGAUUGAUGGCAACCAGGGAUUUGCACAAAGAUAAGACAAGAAAGUAAAGAUACUUAGAACUACAAAAUAUAGACGGGCUCCACCUGAAUGUGUGCACCUAGUUAGUAGUGCCUUUGGAAUGCAAGACACACACAUUAGGAUCAACACUCCCCCUAUAUUUGAUAGUCCAACAUCCUAAGCAAAGGAUACAUGAGAGCAGGGUAUAUAACAGGAUAAUCAUGCAACUCAUAAGAUACUAAAGUACCAGAAAGACAUAGAUAAAGAUAAGGUAAGGAUAAGGUAGCAUAUGUCUCACACCAUAUGUCUGGAACUUAGGUCUCACGGGCACAACACCAAACAACGCAAAUGGCGAGAAAACACAACGACACCACAAACCAAACCACAAAGACACACUCACAACUAGGCAACGACACAAAUCCCUAAACUCUCCCCCCUUUGGCAUCGAGACACCAAAAGAGCAAAGAGCGUUGCUACGGCUCCAGGUGAUAGCAAGCAGAGGAUCUCAAACAUCACAUCUCAGCAGGAUCGUCUGCACCGCCAUUAUCGGUCGGAAACUGCUCGGCGUUUGAAUCGGUCCACGGGCAAUGCUGCUGAACCCACUCCUCCUAAUCAGUGAUCCUCUCCUCAGAUCCGCUAUUAAUAGUGGCACCCAACUGUCACAUGAGCUCCUUGUGACGUCUGCGGGCCUUCUUCUCAGAGACAUGAGACAUGUACUGGCCAUGAGACUCCAUGCAGAAAAGUUUCUUCAUAUUGCGCUUAAUCCUCUUAGCCCAUGAGGGCUCCACACCGGAGGGCUCAUAGUCCUCAUCCUUGUCGGCCUCAGCCUCGUCCUCAGUCUCCAUGUCAGCCUCAUAAGCCAGAUUGAGGGGCCUGGGUGCCCCAAUUGUCCUUCUUCCUUAGACGCUUGAUCUCAUGAGAAAUCAACUCUCCAGUUUCUAGCACAGCCCUGGGAUAGUGAUGUGCCCAUGCCUUCUCAAUGAGAAGCAUGAUGAAAGGACCAUAGAUCGGGCACUUGCGCUCAGAAAUGGCAGAAAGAAGUUCAGACCACAUAACAUGAGAAAUGUCCAGGGACUCUCCAGUGUUUGCUUCCUUCUCAUGCUGGUAGAAGAGAAGCAUGUCCACGAGAUAGGAGUGGACCAUAUCCAGAUUCCCAAUGCGAGGGAAAAGAGUCUCUCGAAAGAUGCGAUGAAGGAUUUCUAGAAAGGCAGGCAGCUCAUAGGUUACCUUCUUAGUCUUGGGGUUAACCUUCUUAGAACAGUAGGACCAGGGGGCUUGCUUGUGAGUGGAGGUGACAUUGCGGUGAGGGCGGAAGCCGACUGGAUUCUCAAGCCCGAGAUCUUCCACCCCAAGUGAGCACCCUGCCAUUCGUCAUCCAAGUCAGAGUCCUUUCUUCAUUAGUUCCAAGAUGGACAGUGGCAUAGAAUUGACAUAUCAAAUUUGCAUCAAAGUCCUUGUUGAACUGCAUGAUUCUGAGAAUGUUCAACUGAGAGCACAUCUGAAGGGCUUCGCCAAAGUACUCAGGGUCCUUUUCCAUAGGAUCAGUGUCGAUGGAACAAACAUCAACAUAGUGAUUCUUCUUAGCCUUGAUCACAUCGAAGAAGAUGGCGAACUGAAAGCGGUUCCAGAAUGGGCGGUUGACCAAAGUGGGAUCUUGGUCUUCCUCAUAGGUGUUGCGGUGAUGCCUUGCCCAAAAUUCCUUGGCAGACAUCUUAGACAUAGUCUUUCCCUUUGGCUUGUUGGCCGAUCUCUUCGUGAGCUGAGGCGGUGGUGGAGCACUUGAGGAAGCACCCGCUGGCGGCGGUGGAGCACUUGAGGAACCACCUGUUGACUCAGAUGUGCGGUAGCGCUUUGAUGUUGCACGACCGGGGUUGACACGACAGACCUGCUGCUUAGGAUGAUCAUCACCUAGAACCAAACACACGACUAGAAGAAACAACAUGAAAGAAAGAGCAUAAGCCACCAAACAAAACAACAUGGAUCAAAAUGUGGUAGGAAAUGAUGGAACUGGGCAUCCAGCGGUAGUACCGCGACCCAACCGCGGCAGCACCGCUCGCGCGGUAGUACCGCUCAAGAUGGGCGGUAGUACUGCUCAAGACGGGGAACGGCAGUUCCCUACUGCCGUGGACAGAUCCGGCACUAUCGGAGAUGCCAAAUUCAAAAAUAAGCCUACCAAACAUCAAUCCAAAGGGACUAGAAGCCAUCUCCAUCCUACUCAAGCCUCGACUUAGCCAAAAGACGAGAAAAACAAUGCCUAUUGCCCCUAAAAACUAGAUGCAAGAUCUAGGCAAGGAGAGAAUGGGAGUGGGGGCAAUACCGGCAUCCAUGGCUAGAGGACGUGGUGGGAAUUGACUCCACCGGAGGAAAUGGAGAGGGACGGCAUGAAAACGGCGGCCAGACGAGGCCCUCCUGCGGCGAGACGUCGCUAAAGCGACGAGGAAGAUGAGCGAGUGGGGGCGAAUGUGUAUGGGGGAGAAAACAACUCCCCCCGCCCCAACAUAACCCCCCAUCGCCCGCCCCGCAGCGGUAGUACCACUGGGGUGGGCGGUAGUACCGCUUGACGCUUAUCAACGGUGGUACCGUGCACGCAGCAGUAGUACCCUCAGCCGCAAAAAGGACAAGCCAAAAGGCUUAGCUCAAGAAAAGAAACCGAGACGAAAGCGAUAAGAAACACACACACACACACAAAACCAACCAAAAGAACGAAAAACACACACCUUUCCAAGAGAGGGCGGUUGCCGAGGCCACCUAUGUUUGAGUUCAGAGGUAUGGCGCCGCGAAGAUUUUAACCUUGGGCCCAUGACCAACACUCACCUUUAACGCACAAGUACCAUAAAAAAGGCUAAUGUGAAAGAGUUUGAUUAGUUUAUGCAUUAUGGGGGGGGGGAGAGUUCAUUGAGAGAACAACACUCCCCCUAUGUCCAUGCCUACACCUAAACUAGACAACAAGUUGAGUGUGGAGGGGUGUGCAAGGGUUCAAGUCACAUUACUCGAAUCAAUGAUAUUUAGCUCAUGCCUUAACUCGCGAAAUCUUGCUUCAUCCAGGGGCUUCGUGAAGAUAUCCGCAAGGUUAUCAAGAGUGUUGACAUAGUUGAGCUCGAUAUCCCCUCGCCUAAUAUGAUCCCUGAUGAAGUGAUACCGAAUCUCAAUAUGCUUCAUCUUGAAGUGUUGCACCGGGUUGAGAGAAAUCUUGAUUGCACUUUCAUUGUCACACCAGAGAGGCACUUUGUCACAAAUGACACCGUAAUCCUUUAAAGUUUACCUCAUCCAUAAAAGUUGUGCACAACAACUACCGGCAGACACAUACUCCGCUUCCGUGGAUGAGAGAGACACGCAACUUUGCUUCUUGGAAGACCAACUCGCCAAAGAGCAACCAAGAAAUUUGCACCCUCUGGAAGUGGACUUCCUAUCCACUUUGUCUCCCGCCCAAUCCGAGUCCGAAUAACCUACAAGCUUGAAGUUUGCUCCUCUUGGGUACCAUAAGCCAAAGUUUUGGGUAUGAGCCAAAUAUCGAAAGAUUCACUUGACCGCCACAAAGUGACUUUCCUUAGGUGCGGCUUGAAACCACGCACAAAUUCUCACACUCAACAUGAUAUUCGGUCUAGAUGCAAAAAGGUAAAGCAAGGAGCUAACCAUGGAGCAAUAUACCUUUUGAUCCACCGCUUUACCAUUGGGAUCAAUGUCAAGUUGGCACUUAGCGGGCAUGGGAGUGGAAGCCGGCUUGACAUCACUUAUCUUGAAUCUCUUGAGCAUGUCUUGAGUGUAUUUGGCUUGGUUGAUGAAGGUUCCUUCUCUCCGUUGCUUCACUUCGAACCUGAGAAAGAACUUCAACUCUCCCAUGGAAGACAUCUCAAACUUUGAGGUCAUGAGAGCGGCAAAUUCCUCAUUGAAAACUUUGUUAGGGGAACCAAAGAUAAUAUCAUCAACAUAUAAUUGGCACACAAACAACUCCCCUUUGACCUUCUUAGUAAAAAGAGUGGGGUCGAUUAGCCCAACUUCAAAACCACAGUCUUGUAACAACUCGGUAAGGUGGUCAUACCACGCACGUGGGGCUUGUUUAAGGCCAUAGAGUGCCUUAUCAAGUUGAUACACAUGAUCGGGAAAGUAGGGAUCCUCGAACCCGGGGGGUUGCUUGACACAUACCAAUUCAAUAAUAGGACCAUUAAGAAAAGCACUCUUCACAUCCAUUUGUUGUAACUUAAAGCUAUGAUGAGAAGCAUAUGCAAUCAACAUGCGAAUGGAUUCAAGACGAGCAACGGGAGCAAAGGUUUCACCGUAGUCGAUACCCUCGACUUGGGAGUAGCCUUGUGCUACCAAACGAGCCUUGUUGCGAAUGAUAAUCCCAUGAGCAUCUUGCUUGUUCUUGAAUAUCCACUUGGUUCCAAUGACAUUGUGGUUCCCCGUUGGCCUUGGCACCAAUCUCCACACUUUGUUGCGUUCGAAGUUGUUGAGUUCUUCAUGCAUGGCAUUGAGCCAAUCCGGAUCUUCGAGCGCCUCAUAGACCUUUUUGGGUUCAACACACGAGACAAACACGUGAUGUUCACAAUAGUUUGCUAAUUGUCUAUGAGUGUUUACCCCCUUUCUUAAGCUUCCAAGCACAUUUGUCAUGAGAUGAUCCUUGAUGAAGAGCUUGGAAGCAAUCUUGGCGGCACGACACUCCAAUUCCUCCUCGAGGGUGAGACGAGGAGUGGUCACUUGAUCAUCUUAAGCGCCAUCUUGAGCUUGUUCUUGAUCUCGAGGAAGCUCUUGAUCUUGAACUUGCUCAGAGGAGAGAACUUGACCUUGGGCAUCACUUGAUGUUACAACACCAUCUUGAGAUUGACCUUGCCCUUGGUCUUGUUCUUGAGGUUGAGGGCCUUCACUUUGUUCUUCGGAAGCGUGUGGACCUUGGGUUGGUGAUGGCUCCACAAGAGUGGAGCAUUGUCCUUCUCCUUCGGCCAAAAGGGAUUCCUCAAUGGGUAGGAUAAAACCAACACCCAUUCUUCUUAUGGCUUGGGGAGGAAUUUCAUCACCUACAUCACAAGUGCCACUUUGCUCCACUUGGGAGCCGUUAUUCUCAUCAAACUCCACGUUACAUGUCUCCUCAAUAAGUCCCGUGGACUUAUUAAGGACACGGUAAGCAUGGUAGUUCGUAGCAUAACCAACAAAUAUGCCCUCAUGAGCUCUAGCCUCAAAGUUAGACAAACGAACACCUUUCUUGAGAAUGGAACACUUACACCCGAACACCCGAAAGUACUUGAGGUUGGGCUUGUUCCCGGUGAGUAUCUCAUAUGGAUUCUUGUUCAAGCCUUUGCGGAGGUAGAGACGAUUUGAUGCAUGACACGCGGUGUUGAUGGCUUCGGCCCAAAAGUUGUAUGGAGACUUGAACUCUGCCAUCAUGGUCCUUGCCGCAUCCAUCAACGCCCGGUUCUUCCUCUCUGCUACACCAUUUUGUUGAGGGGUGUAUGGUGCAGAAUAUUGAUGCUGUCGGAUUUCGGGUUCCGGCAGACCCUUGAGGUUCGAACACUGGGGUGCGCGCAGAGAUUUCGCCUCCUACCUACCUGCACCCCCCGCCUUGCCAGGAUCUAAACUAUGGAAAGGACAACACAAGAGACACAGGGUUUAUACUGGUUCGGGCCACCAUUGCGGUGUAAUCCCCUACUCAAGUGUGUGGUGUGGUGGAUUGCCUCUUGGGCUAAUGAUGAAGAACCAUACAAGAAAGAACAGCCUCGCGAGGGUCUGUUCUUGGUUGGGGCGAUCAACUGCUGGGAGGAGCUCAGUCACCCUUCUCUCUCUCUCUCUCUCUCUCUCUCUCUCUCUCUCUCUCUUUCUGAUCUUCUCUAUCCUUCCAAACCCUCGGCCCCCUUUGCUCUGUGCGUGGCUGGUCCUAUUUAUAGAGGCCCUGGUCCUCUUCCCAAAUAUCGAGCGGGAAGGGAGCCAACAAUGGCGGGCUAAUUUGAAGGGGGACAGCUAGUACUAGCUACCUGACAAAAGUAGUCUUCGCCUGCGCAAAGCUCUGGUGAUGACGCCGUCUUGGGCUCCACGAUGACCUCCAUCUCGUAGUCCUCCUGGUCUUGGUCUCGUUGCACCGAAAUGGCAACCUUUGCCUGAUGCCUCGGUACUCCGCGGCUACGCUUGCCCCCUUUGCACCAAAGAGGAAGGAAAGACGAUGCGUGGGCUGGCACCCGCCUGGCGCCCCCGGUCGUCAUGGCUUGCGUCACGGGCACCUCGUGAGAUACCCGACCUUGAUCUCUCUGCCUCCUCGUGAGCCAGCCUGACGAGGCCGCGCUUGAGGAAGCUCCGUGUCGUCCGCCCCGCGAGGCUUGGCCCCUCGCGAGGGUCUUGGGUUUGUGUUGGUGAAGAUGGGCCGCGCUGGGCCCCCCUUUGAGCCACGCCGCAGGCCGUAGGCAGGCAAGUCUGGGGACCCCCGUUCCCAGAAUGCCGACAGUAGCCCCGGGGCCCAAGGCGCGCCCGGACUUGGUCGUGCAGGGAGGCAGAAGGGCAAGAGUGAAGCGCCACGGGCCCUAACAGCCUGUGGCCUUGGGCGCCGCAUGGCAGUUGGUUGGACAUGGGCGCCUGCACUUCCCCAUGGCACCUCGGCAACUGCACGGAUUGGACAAGUCCCUGCAUGCAAAGUGGGUCAUGAUUACCUACAAUCGUGGAGGUCGGCGGUUGGCCCUCGCCGGCCGUAAGUAAGGAACAGCGCGCGCCCUUCCAGUCCAUCUCCCCUUGCUUCUCCUUCUUCCUGAUCCUUGCUCCGUCUUAUUGCGAUGGAUCCGAUCCGCUGGUUCUUGACGGCAGAGAAGGGAAAGGCUCCCCGAUAGGAACCAGACCCACUCCCGCCGAAGAAACGGCUCAUCCCCCGUGGCCCGGACGAAGGGGCCCUUCAGGUGGUGUCGAGGCCUUGGUGCGAGCAGGUGCCGCCGGGGUUCCCGCUGCCAUUGUACGCCCACGUCAAGGGCCCCGAAGGAGCUGAUGCUGACCGCCAUGGGCGGCGCCGCCGUCGGCGCCGACGGGUCACGAAGGUGUGGGUCGUCCCCCCUGGGGUCCACACCGAGGGCUUCGCCCGAGAGUUCGUGCUUCACGUCGCCAUUCCUCUUCAGUCUUGGAUUCGCCUUCCUUCCUUCUUCGCCUCCAUCAUCCCGCAGGGGGAGCCCCUGGAGCUCUGGCUGCAGCACGCCGGCUGCAGCACCCUCGCGACCGAGGCAGAGGUUGCGGUCGUUGCCCCGGGCAAGGUCUACAUGACUCGGGGCUGGAGAGAGAUCGCCCGGGUUUGCAGGGUAAGGGGCGUCUUUGCGGUCCACUUGGAUUACGACGGUGCUUCGGUGAUGCUCUUCAAGGUCUUCGGUGCGAGCGGGUGCCGGCUGGAGUGCUGCCCCGGGGAAGGUGGCCAGGUCCCUGCCGCGACGAGGACUAGGCCCGCCAACCGCCCCCUUGGCGGCUCCUCAGGUGGUGGAGGCGUCGGAGGUUCCAGCGACUCCGGCAAGCUCUCCGCGACUCCGGAGACGAGCGAUGAUAGCUACGAGCCCCCGAGCCGGCGCCGCUCCUGGAGUAGGGCAGGCUCGUCAGGCCGCCACCGACCCUGAUCUGGAUGGGGUUGGCUUCGGUGCUUGACAGCCCACUGUUGAUGAUGGCGUCUUUUGCUGGGACGCGCGUAGUUUGUGUCCCUUUAGGAUCUGUUCCCUGCGAGGAAUCAAAAACGCGUCCCGUGGGGGCUUGCAAGGUGCUUGUGAUCCUGUUUUGUUAAUAUAACCCUUGUCGUAGAAUUGCGCGAGUUGCUCAUUCCGUCUUAGCUCAGUCCUCCCUUUCGAGCCUCACGAGAGCUUGGUGCUCUGCGCCGACAGGUCCCAGUCCCAAGGCGGCUUCAGCCGUCGCUGGUAUGCUAGGUCGUGAUGCCGUGGUCAAGGCCAGGAGGUGAGCGACCCGGAGUCCGGUAAGAGCCCCUGAGUCGCGAUGCUUAGGAGGUCCCCUUUGGCCCCCAAGCAGCCGCCGUUUGGUGAGAAAGGAGAGCGGCGUCGCUAACACGGGGUAGCAUUAGGUGCGGGGAUGGUGCCACGGCAGCUGGUGCUUCCGGGUGAUGACUUAUCUCGAGGAUCAGGGGCCGCUCUCUGGUGUGUCGCCGGGUCCUUGCAUCGGCACGCGCGAGGUUGCUCGGCGAGGUCCUCGUGUGUCUCUCCCCUCUUGCCUUUGGUCCCCUUUCUGCUCUACGUCCUCGAGUCCCGGCCCUCGAGCGGGUCUCAGCCGUCGCUGGUAUGCCAGGUCGUGAUGCCGUGGUCAAGGCCAGAGGGUGAGGGCUGGAGAGCCAGUAGGAGUCCUGAGUCGUGAUGCUCAGGCACCCCCCCCUUUAACGUGCAAGCGGUUCGCGUGGACGAGAGCGAAGGAGACACCGCGAGGGCCUCGCCUGACGCAGCUCCUUCAGGAGGUCCUGCAGAUCCAUCAUAGAAAAAAACAAGGGGUCGCCAUGACAAUUGACAGUCAGCCGUUGGUUGCUUCCGAGGGGUAGUGAGGCACUGAAGGCUUGACGAGGUGACGCUAUGCGGGGCUGCCGCGGCCAGAGCUCAGCCAUCCAGGUUUGUCGGCGUUGCAGGGACGGACCCAUGCGCAAGCGUCGUGCCAUUUGGGAGCAGCUCCGUUAGUUGGCGUCGGCUGAGCAGGCAACUAGGUAAAACACAUUAGCCGCGAAGGAGUGGAUCCGUUCAGAUAAAUGCUGGGAAUGCGAACAUCACUGGGUCAGGCCCGAGCGACUUGGGGGUCAUGCAGCCCGAGGGGCGCCCCCAACAGGGUAAGUUAACAACAUGGAAUAAAAUGGGAAUACACGCCGCAGGGACGGACCCACGCGGCCUGGGAAUAAUGCAGCCCUGGGGGGCGCUCCUAGCUGGAAAUAAAACUCAAAAGACGUCACUUGAUGAUGUUGAGGAUGAAGGAGCAUUGAUGUAGCAGGCUUGGUGGGCUGCGGGAGCCGAUCCUCAUGAGCCCCCAGACCCAGGGGCCUCGGGAGGCUCCGGAGGCGCUGGCGGCUCCUCACGGGCCAUCUCCAUCCCUGCCAGGGCUGCGGAACGCCCUGCCUCUCGUGCCUCUGUGAUGCUCCUCAUGAGGCGCUGGUACGUGUCAGCCGCGUUCGACAGGCCGCAAGGCAUGCGUACGUAGCUGUGGGGCGGGCCUCCGCAGCGCCCCACUCGCGAGGGCCAGAGGCGCUCCAGAGAGGCGACUCGGUUGAGCCUGGUAUGUCGAUGCAGACGCGCAGCCCACCAUCCUCGCCUGGAUGGGGAGCCACUGCUAGUAGGCGGCGGCCACCUUUCAUGACUCUUGACUCCUGUAGCUCCUGAAUGGCCUUGCUGACGAACUCCUGAGGGUCUGGAUCUCCUUGCCUUGCUCCUUCUUGAGGGAAACAUGCUUCAAAACACGCCUCCAUGUGGUGCCCAAGCACCUCCCUCGUGACCCUAGCUAGGUCGGUGGCCCUCCAGGGGAGAGCCCCCGAGCCCCGCCUGAGGAGGGCGCUGGGCGCGCUUUCCUAUGCGAUGGAAGGAGGUUCCCCCUGGGCAGGCGCGGGCCCAGAGGGGCCUGCCUCCUGAGUGGUCAGGCCGGACGAUGUCUUCUUCUUCUUAGGGGCGGUCUCGGGAGGCCUCCUGCUCCCACGAUCCGGGUCUUCCAGUGACGCGGCCUGAAAGGCCCAUUCCAGGGAACACACCGCGUCAUUCUCUUCACAUGGCACCGCGAUGACUCCGCCGCUUUCUGGCAUCUUGAGGACGCUGUAGCCGUGGUGAGUUACGGCCAUGAACUUGGCCAGCGCUUGGUACCCAAGGAUGGCGUUGUACGGCAGGUGAAUGUGAGCGACGUCGAAGUCGAUGAGCUCGGUGCGGUAGUUGUCGCGUGCCCCGAAGGUGACAGGGAGGCGGACCUGCCCAAUCGGGACCGUGGAGCCGUUGGUGAUACCGGAGAAAGGCUUGGUGACGCAGGCGGAGGAUGAUGUUGCCGCACGGGAAGCCCGCGUCCUGGAGGAGGUCGGACGUCGAGUGGCGAUGGCGCAUUUGAACCUCGAGCACGAGUUUGACGAGAAGCUGGGGUUAAUCCGGGCCAAAGCUGAAGGCAGGACUGCUGCCUUGAGGGCCAAGCUGGAGGAGGCGACGUGGCGGGCCGACACUUUCCGGGCCGCUCUUGAGGUGGUGCAAGGUGAGUUGACCGCUUCCCAGGCUGAGGUGCUCCUUCUCCGCCAGCGGGUGGAGGAGGCUGAUGACGUCGCGGGCCAGAACACGAACGAGAUCCGUCAGCGACAGAUCCUGGAGCAUGAGCACGGCCCCAUGCUAGCCACGCUCCAGGAGAGAGCCAACGCAGCCUUGGGCAACAUCUGCGAGGCGGCCGUUGGCAAGCCGCAUGCAGUCAACUAUACUGGCAAUCUUCAGUUCUUCACUAACGUGGUGACGCAGCUGGAGGCGCGGUCGGUCAGGGCUGACAGGUUGGUGGAGGAGAGGAGCCGCGGCCUGCUUGGGCACGCCUUUUCUUGCGUCUUCAGCCACCUCCAAAACAUGGAUCCCCGCUUCAAUUUUGACGCCGUCAUUGCCCCAGUCCCCCAGGCCGUCCGAGGCGACCUGGCGCGCUGGGUGGAGGACAAUAUGGACGCUCUUAUCAGGGCCUUUGCUUUGGACAAUGACGACACGAUCGUGGCGGCCAUCGAGGGCGGCGUGGUGAACGGCCCUGACGCCGCUGGCGGCGACGCGGACAGUGAUGGCGGGUUCAGCGACGCCAGCAACGGCCCGGGUGGAGCUCCUGAGAACGCAUUGGGGGAUUCAUCCGACUAAUUGUGCAUCUCUCCUACUUCCUUACCCUCCAUGAAUAGAGCUCAUGUUUCGGCCUGAUUGCAGUGAGAGCAUUUUGAAGGGGGGGGGGGCCUUAUGUAAAACUUGUGUUCAUCGUAUUAGUAGACGCGACAUUGCCCAUGCGCCCGCACCAAGUGGUUGGCCCAAGCGACGCGCUGGUCGGCUAGUUUACCUUUGUCCCGUGUUGGCCCUGAGGCAUCCUGUGGGAGGUUAUGGUCUCUUGAGUGUUCCCUGACUGGGUUCGUAGGAUCUGUAGUAAAACACCCUCCUGAGAGGUCACGUCUGCGGCAGUCUGGGCUGCGCGCAAGCUAGGCCUGACCCGGCUCGCGAGGGGCUCGCGAGGGGAGGCAGCUGAGGCGAAGCAGUAACCAAAGCGCGAGAAAUUGCUCGAAUGAGACUAAGAACCCCUUCCCCGAACACACGCAAAUCUCAAAUUCGAAUCCAACUUGAAUCCAGCAGGGGAAAGCGACAACCAAAGGGAAAAGCAACGAAAGCAAACAAAAGGCCGCGUCCGGCACCUAGUCUAGUCUUGGACGUCUUCUCACCAGCGCGGAGCUAAGUGCUGCCACUGGGCGCGGGAGGGAGCCCCAGGGCCUGAGGCCGGCACCCCUGAGACUCUGGGGCGUGUAUAGCCCCACUCAUUAUUACGUGAGAGUGUCACGGGGCGGCGAGCUUUACAGGCACUGGGCCUUCUUCACAGGUACUGGCCUUGCUUCAUAUCGCCAGAUGAGGGCCCCGCCUUGCGCCACACUCUAGUGCCAUCAACGACGACCGGAAACCAGGACGUCGCCGAUGGGGUAUAGCGGUCGCCAGCGGUUCCCCCGAUGACCACGGGUCCUCCGCCGGGGGCAGGCUCCGCGGCACCUCCCCAGCGGAGGGCCUACCUCUUGAGAACACCUUGCUCCGAAUGCCGCGGUGGUGAUGUCGGAUCCCGGCCCUUCUCCUGCAGCCCCCUGCGCCCUCCUCCCGAGGGGCAGGAGACCGUGGGAGCAGGGCAGCUGCUCGCUGUGGCGACCUGCACCUCCUGCGAUCCAUGGUUAGCGUAUACCUGCUCCUGAAGGAUUAGCGGUACCUGAUAACCGUUGCCCCCAGCAUGGCCAGUAGGACCGUCCCGGGGCUCCCGGAAAGGCUCAGCUUCCGACGCCUCGUCCCCCCAGCUUGGGCUGAGGAGCGAGCCUUGCUCGCUCUCGUGUGGGCGUCCUUGGUCCAUCAUGAUGGGCACGUAUUCCUCCGGCGCCGUCAUCCCGAAUGCCACGCCGUAAUGCCCUGCAUGCCACGCGGUCCUGCCUGACGCGCCCACCGUGGGGUGGCAGCAUGGCUGCCCACUGGGGCCGCGGGUCGCGUCGAGUCCUUCUUCUUCGCGGACCGGGAGCGGGGGCAGCGCCGCCGCCGGUCCGGCGCUGACAACUUCACUGGCGUCGGAGUAGCCUUGGAGCCCGCGGGCGCGCGCGGAGCCCCCGCGCGGGCCAUCCUGGGCUUGAGAUGGGAGCUGGGUGGAGAAGGGGUGAGCCCCCGAGGCGGCGAAGCCCAGGAGCUCUGCCACUCGCUCUAGCAACACGUCAUGGCCGUCCUCCAGCAGCCUGCACUGCAGCAGCUCUCGGGCCACUAUGAGCGCGGCCCUCGAGUUCGCCUGCUCCCUGUGAGUGUACAACGUCGUGGUCGCGGCGUGAUUGGAGGCCCUUGCUGCCGACCGCGCCUGCCGCGGCGUGAGAGCUGUCGAAGUCUGUCCGCGUCGCCCGCGGCCCGCAGCGCUCUGCGGACCACGAGCUGCCUGGGGCACGGGGUCGCCCGAGGCAAGCGGCUCUGCGCAGGCGGGCCACGCCGCCCAUGGAUCUGGGUUGCCCGCCUGGUCGCCGGACAUGGUGAUGACGACGCGACGGGGUGCGAAGCGGUAGAAGGUGGACUCCGGUGCAGCCCUACCUGGCGCGCCAAAUGUCGGAUUUCGGGUUCCGGCAGACCCUUGAGGUUCAAACACUGGGGUGCGCGCGAAGAUUUCGCCUCCUACCUACCUGCACCCCCCCCCCCACCUUGCCAGGAUCUAAACUAUGGAAAGGACAACACAAGAGACACAGGGUUUAUACUGGUUCGGGCCACCAUUGUGGUGUAAUACCCUACUCCAGUGUGUGGUGUGGUGGAUUGCCUCUUGGGCUAAUGAUGAAGAACCAUACAAGGAAGAACAGCCUCGCGAGGGUCUGUUCUUGGCUGGGGCGAUGAACUGCUGGGAGGAGCUCAGUCACCCUUCUCUCUCUCUCUUUCUGAUCUUCUCUAUCCUUCCAAACCCUCAGCCCCCUUUGCUCUGUGGGUGGCUGGUCCUAUUUAUAGAGGCCCUGGUCCUCUUCCCAAAUAUCGACGGGAAGGGAGCCAACAAUGGCGGGCUAAUUUGAAGGGGGACAGCUAGUACUAGCUACCCUGACAAAAGUAGUCUUCGCCUGCGCAAAGCUCUGGUGAUGACACCAUCUUGGGCUCCACGGUGACCUCCGUCUCGUAGUCCUCCUGGUCUUGGUCUCGUUGCACCGAAAUGGCAACCUUUGCCUGAUGCCUCGGUACUCCGCGGCUGCACUUGCCCCCUUUGCACCAAAGAGGAAGGAAGGACGCUGCGCGGGCUGGCACCCGCCUGGCGCCCCCGGUCGUCAUGGCUUGCGUCAUGGGCACCUCGUGAGAUACCCGGCCUUGAUCUCUCCGCCUCCUCGUGAGCCAGACUGACGAGGCCGCGCCUGAGGAAGCUCCGUGUCAUCCGCCCCGUGAGGCUUGGCCCUCGCGAGGGUAUUGGGUUUGUGUUGGUGAAGAUGGGCCGCGUUGGGCCCUCCUUUUAGCCACGUCGUAGGUCACAGGCAGGCAAGUCUGGGGACCCCCGUUCCCAGAAUGCUGACAGAUGCUUGAUCCCCUCAUCACUAAGAAACUCAUCCAAGGUGUAGUUCUUGAACUCGGUGCCGUAGUCACUUCUUAUCGUCAAGAUCUUUGCAUUGUGUUGACGUUGAGCCUCAUUUGCAAAGUCGAUGACGGUUUGUUGGGUCUCGCUCUUCCUCUUGAAGAAAUAUACCCAAGUGUAUCUUGAAUAAUCAUCCACAAUCACUAAGCAAUACUUCCUACCCCCAAGACUAUCGAAAGAUGGAGGCCCAAAGAGAUCCAUGUGAAGGAGCUCCAAAGGCCUCUUCGAGAAAAUGAUAGUCGUGGGAGGGUGAGUCUUUUCAUGCAGCUUUCCUUCGAUACAAGCACUGCAAGCACGAUCUUUGGCAAAACUAACAUUUGUUAGUCCAUGGACAUGGUCCCCCUUGAGAAGACUUUGCAAAUAUCUCAUAUUGACAUGGGCAAGACGGCGAUGCCAAAGCCAUCCCACGUCAACUUUAGCCAUUAGGCAUGUUGCGGUCUUAGUGAGUUGCUCCGAAAAGUUGAUCACAUAGAGACCGUUUUCGACAUGCCCAACAAAGGCUACUUUAAGAGUCUUGCUCCACAAGAGGGCCACGGUAUCAACAUCAAAGAAAGUGGCAAAACCCAUGAGUGCUAGUUGACGAACGGAAAGUAAAUUAUAUGCAAGGGACUCAACAAGCAUGACCUUCUCGAUUGUAAGAUCAUGAGAAAUGACAACCUUGCCGAGUCCCAAUACCUUAGAGGAUGAGGCGUCACCCCACUCGAUGUUGGUGGGUAUUGAUGGAAUCUUUUGCACAUCCACCACCAAGUCCUUGCUUCUGGUCAUAUGAUUAGUAGCUCCACUAUCAAGCAACCAUGAACCCCCACCGGAAGCAAACACCUACAAGAGAUCAAUGCUUGCUUUUAGGUACCCAUUUUGUAAUGGGUCCUUUGAUGUUAGUAACAAGGGUCUUAGGAAUCCAAAUAGACCAUUCAAUGUACUCAUAAGGAGAACCAACAAAUUUGGCAUAAACAUGCCCAUCUCUAACACGACACAACACAUAAGAAGGGUUAAAGUCGUCGGCUUUGUUGGGAAGGGAAGUGUUGCCCUUCUUGGCAUCACUACCCCUAACAAUGUUCUUCUCCUUCUCCUUAAUAGCACCUUCUCCCUCCUUCACAGAGGUUUGCUUGAGAGGAGGAGGUCGUUUUCCCUUGUCAUUCUUCUUCUUGUUCUUGGACUUGGGCACGUACCCAAUCUCUUCCUUGGCCAAAACUCCCUUUUGGUUGGUCAAAAGGUCGUUGAGGUUCUUCUCGCCAUGUAUGCAAGACACAAGACCUUUCUCAAGUUGCACCUUUAACUUAGCGUUCUCCUCAACAAGAUGCACAUGCUCACAACAUGGGUUAGUAGCAUUUGCAUUAUCAAUUAACAUCAUACGAGGAAAAGUGGCUUUCUCCUUGGUUAGCUUUACUUGAAGUUGAUCAUGAGACUCUUUGAGGCUAGCAUGAGCACCCUUCAAGACCUUGUGAGCCUUGUCAAGUAGGUCAAACUCCUCUUUGAGUCUAGCAAGAUCAACCCCAAGCUUGGCCUUCUCGGAGUUUAGCACACGAGAAACAACAAGAGCAUGAUCAAAUUCUUUCUUUAACUUAGCGUGAUCAACAUUGUGUGACUCCUCAAGAGCCAAACAAAGACCACGCUCUUCCGCAAGAGCAUUGGAAAGAUCCGAAAUCUCAUCGGCAUAGUCAUGACUAUGCCCCCCCAUCUUGGGGAUAGUAUCUUCGUGAGCCUCGAUCAUGUCAUUAGCUUCACCAAGUUGUUCCAAUAGAGCAACGAAAUGCUUCUUGGAUUUACCCUUGAGUUUACCCAUAAAGGACUCAAACUCAUUUUCCUCCACACUAGAUCCCACAUAUUCAUCAAUGCAAUCCAUCAAGGAAGGAUUAUUAAUGAUGGUAGUUUUGAUGUUGGGGGUUACCUUGUUGGUGGCUUUAUCCAUGAGGCACUUGGCGGUGAUGUUCUCAUUGGGUGAGUCGAAGAGAGACACUCGUGGAGUUGUUGCAAUGGCAACGGAGGCCAUGGCAACCAACUCACCAUCUUCAUCAUCAUCAUCGUCAUGGUACUCUUCUUGAACCACCAACGCCUUGUGAGGGGUCUUCUUGAUGAAGUUGCUCUUGUUUGGGAAAGACUUGGCUUUGUCCUUUCGGAUGAGCUUGCCACCAUUGUCUUCCUUCUUCUCAUACGAGCACUCUGCAACAAAAUGGCUCACAUUGCCACAAUUAUAGCAAGUCCUCACACGUUGCUUGCUCUUCGUGCCACUUGAGUUGUUCUUGUUGAAGUUUGGCCUUGAGUUUUUCUUGCUCCAAAAUUGCCUUGAAGCAAGAGCCAUGUGUUCAUGAUAGGCAUACUUUGUAUCUUCGGGAUUGCUUUCCUCUUAUUCCUCUUCUUCUUCCUCUUCAACACAAACCUUGGCCUUCAAUGCAAGGUUGGGCUUCUUUGCCCUUUGAGAGCGAAGCACCGCAUUGUCGGCGGUCUUGUCCAAGAUGCUCAUAGCCACAAACUCAUCCAACACUUCACUUGAGGACAAGGUGUGGAAGUCCGGCCUUUGAUGAAUGAUGGAGGACAUAGCCUUAUGGUAAGGCAUCAUUGCCUUGAGAAAUUUGCGCUUGAUCCAAUUGUCAUCUGUGUCCUUGCUCCCAUGAUCUCGGAGUGUUUGGUUACUCUUCGAUAAAGCUCACGAGGUUCUUCAUCUUCCUUCAUUGCAAACUCAUCAGCUUCAUCUUGCACCACUUCAUAGUUGGAGCGUUGAAUGCUUGCCUUCCCCAGUAGAGAGAAACAACUUGGUGCUUCUUGGAUUUACCCUUGAGUUUAUCCAUAAAGGACUCAAACUCAUUUUCCUCCACACUAGAUCCCUCAUAUUCAUCAAUGCAAUCCAUCAAGGAAGGAUUAUUAAUGAUGAUAGUUUUGAUGUUGGGGGUUACCUUGUUGGUGGCUUUAUCCAUGAGGCACUUGGCGGUGAUGUUCUCAUUGGGUGAGUCGAAGAGAGACACUCGUGGAGUUGUUACAAUGGCAACGGAGGCCAUGGCAACCGACUCACCAUCUUCAUCACCAUCAUCAUCAUCCUCAUGGUACUCUUCUUGAACCACCAACGCCUUGUGAGGGGUCUUCUUGAUGAAGUUGCUCUUGUUUAUGAAAGACUUGGUUUUGUCCUUUAGGAUGAGCUUGCCACCAUUGUCUUCCCUCUUCUCAUACGGGCACUUCGCAACAAAAUGGCUCACAUUGCCACAAUUAUAGCAAGUCCUCACACGUUGCUUGCUCUUCGUGCCACUUGAGUUGUUCUUGUUGAAGUUUGGCCUUGAGUUUUUCUUGCUCCAAAAUUGCCUUGAAGCAAGAGCCAUGUGUUCAUGAUAGGCAUACUUUGUAUCUUCGGGGUUGCUUUCCUCUUCUUCCUCUUCUUCUUCCUCUUCAACACAAACCUUGGCCUUCAAUGCAAGGUUGGGCUUCUUUACCCUUUGAGAGCGAAGCACCGCAUUGUCGGAGGUCUUGUCCAAGAUGCUCAUAGCCACAAACUCAUCCAACACUUCGCUUGAGGACAAGGUGUGGAAGUCCGGCCUUUGACGAAUGCCGGAGGACAUAGCCUUAUGGUAAGGCAUCAUUGCCUUGAGAAAUUUGCGCUUGAUCCAAUUGUCAUCCGUGUCCUUGCUCCCAUGAUCUCGGAGUGAAACCGCGAGUUUGGUUACUCUUCAAUAAAGCUCACGAGGUUCUUCAUCUUCCUUCAUUGCAAACUCAUUGGCUUCAUCUUGCACCACUUCGCAGUUGGAGCAUUGAAUGCUUGCGCUUCCCCGAUAGAGAGAAACAACUUGUUGCCAUGCAUCUUUGGCUAUGGCGUAGGGCCGGAGGUGAGGAAGAUCUUCGGGUGGAAUUGCAUCUUGGAUGAUGAAGAGAGCAUUCUCAUUGAAUUGAUUAUCUGUGGCUUCUCUUGGAGUGAAGUUGCUUCGGUCAUGUGGAUAGAAACCUUCUUCAAUGAUUCUCCAAAGAUUAGUAUUCACAUGAUUUAAAUGGUGCUUAAACCGAUAGACCCAAGAAUCAAAAUCCUCAUUUUUCACAAUCUUAGGGGGAGGACCGGCAUGAUUCAAAUGAGUGGAAGGAUCCAGUCCACCAUAAAUAAGUGGUGGUUCCACAUGGGCAAAGAUGUCGGUGCCAUUUUUACCACUAGAAGAAGGAGCCUUUUCACUAGUAGCUUCCCCCUUGUCGGAGUUAGCAUCCGUCACCUUGUCAGUGGGAUCACCCACUUUCAACGGUGUGGUGGAUAGUUUAAGCCCUUCAAUGAAUUUAGUAAACAUGCUUUCAACCUCGGUCGUCAUGGAGGUUUUCAAUGUCUCCAAGGCCACAUUGAAUUCCUCACGAGAGACCGAGGUUCCCCCAUUGCCCGUAGACGAGAUCGGAUUCACAUCGGAGUGCUCCUCCACACCGUCUACGAUGUCCACCAUACUCUUCGGACGGCAAAGUCCUUAGUAAAGUGACGAGGCUCUGAUACCAAUUGAAAGGAUCGAUAUGGUUGACUAGAAGGGGUGAAUAGGCAACUAACAAUUUUUAACUUUUCUUUACCAAAUUAAACUUUGCAUCAAAGUAGGUUGUCUAGACAUGCAACUAGGUGAGCAACCUAUAUGAUGCAACAACAACAAGCACACAAGCAAGCAAGGGAAGAAACACAAAUAAUCUUGCACAAGUAAAGGUACGAGAUAACCAAGAGUGGAGCCGGUGAAGACGAGGAUGUGUUACCGAAGUUCCUUCCUUUUGAGGGGAAGUACGUCUCCGUUGGAGCGGUGUGGAGGCACAAUGCUCCCCAAGAAGCCACUAGGGCCACCGUAUUCUCCUCACGCCCUCACACAAUGCGAGAUGCCGUGAUUCCACUAUUGGUGCCCUUGGAGGCGGCGACCGUACCUUUACAAACAAGGUUGGGGCAAUCUCCACAACUUAGUGGCAGGCUCCCAACAACACCACGAAGCUUCACCACAAUGGACUAUGGCUCUGUGGUGACCUCAACCGUCUAGGGUGCUCAAACACCCAAGAGUAACAAGAUCCGCUAGGGAUUAGUGGGGGAAUCAAAUUUCUCUUGGUGGAAGUGUAGAUCGGGGCCUUCUCAACCAAUCCCGAGCAAAUCAACAAGUUUGAUUGGCUAGGGAGAGAGAUCGGGCGAAAAUGGAGCUUGGAGCAUUAAUGGAGCUUUUGGGGGGAAGAGGUAAGUCAACUUUGGGGAAGAAGACCCCCUUAUAUAGUGGGGGAAACAAUCCAACCGUUACCCCCUUGAACAGCCCCGCAGAGGGCGGUACUACCACUGAGGGCAGCGGUACUAUCGCUCGGACUGCGAUACUACCGCUCCCCCACGCGGUACUUCCGUUCGGACCCCUGCGCGGUACUACCGCUCUCGAGCGGCACUACCGCAUCUAUUGCCGCUGCUUAGUGCCGCACAAUCCGACACAAGAGGUGACCCCCUCGAAUCGGCGCGGUAGGAGCUCGGUGCCGCAGCGGUACUACAGUGAGGACCCACAGGCGGUACUGCCGCGGUUGGGAGCGGUACUGCCGCCUAUGGCUCUUGAGCGGUACUACCGCUGGGAAUCGCGGUACUACUGUUGGGACCCAAAACAAGCACAAAGGAAGGGGAAUGAGCUCUCCAUUGAAGCGGAAAGGCUCAGAGGGUGUGAAAAAGGAUGUGUACGUGUUGAUUCCACCCUAGCCUUAUCAAAGCGGACCCCCUCUUGAUAGUAUGGUGCCUCCUACGAAACUAGUCCACCAAAAUGUAAACGAAAGAGCUACACCGUCUUGAAUAACACUCCGAGGGGAAAGAAAUCGUCUCGUGCCAAAGGAUGAAACUCUGAAAUGCACAAAGCACACGAUUAGUCCGCAAACAUGUUGUCAUCAAUCACCAAAACUACAUCGAGAGAGAUAUGCCUUGACAUAACUUAACCCAUUUUUGUUGUUUUGCCCAUCACAAACAGUUCAUCCGAGUGAGUCGUAUGCCGUCUAUCGCACACACCUUGAUCUGGCUGACCAUUCUUGUUUUCUUGGCUCAUCGCAAACAGUUCAUCCGAGUGAACUAUAUGCCAUUUAUCGCACACAUCAUGAUCUAUCUGACCAUUUCUGUUAUGUUGCCUAAUCACAAACAGUUCAUCUAAGUGAACUAUAUGCCUUAUAUCACACACACCUUCAUCAAGUUGAUCGUUUCUAUUGUUAUGCUUAUCGUAAACAGUACAUUGGAUCAACUAUUUGCCACGUAUCGCGCACGCAGCUCUAGUCGGAAUCGUGUUUGAUGUCUCCGCCAUCACAAACAAAUUGUAUCAUUUUUUACGGGUUUCUUACACCACAGUUUGCUAUUUAUGCAUCGCACAUAGUUUCGUUGAAGUGUCUCUGAUUGUAGUGUCGCAUUAGUAGCAUCUUGCAGCAGUGCUAGAAGCUUCCGGGAGAGGCCAGAAGCUCUACGAGAGAGCCACAAGCUCACAUGACGCGCCUCCAGGGGACGCGCCACCUGAGCUUGUGGCCCCCUCGUAGGUUUGUUUGACCUAAUUCCAAGCCUAUAAAUUCCCUAAAAUCCAGAAACCUCCAGAGCGAGAAUCGAAACAAUUAUUCGGCCGCCGCAAGCCUCUGUUCUUCCAUGAUUCCAUCUGAAGGCCUCUGUCGGUACUCUGCCGGAGGGGGAAUCAAUCACGGAGGGUUUCUACAUCAACUGUGCUAUCUCUCCGAUGAUGCAUGACAUCGUGAGUAGUUCUCAUUGGACCUAUGGGUCCAUAAGCGUAGCUCUCUCUCUCUCUCCCCCUCUCCACCUCUCCCCCCUCUCCCCUUCUCUUUGAUUUUCAAUACAAUGUUCUCUUCGGAGAUCGAUUCGAUGUAAUCCCUUUGUAGUGCGUUUAUUGAGAUUCGAUGAAUUGCGGUUUUAUGAUUAGAUUACUCACUGAAAGUAAUUGGGUCACUUCUGAACUUUAUUAUGUGUGAUUGUUAUAGUUAUGUAAUGCUUUCUGAUAUGUGGGUUUUCUUUGGCCAAGUUGAUGAAUAGAUCUUCAGUGGAAGUGGUGCAUAGUAGUAGUUUCAAUCUUGCGGUGUUCUCACCUCGUGACCGAAGGGGUAGCGAGGCACGUAUUUGUAUUGUUUCUACUAAGGGUAAAACGACGGGGUUCGAUCAUAUUGAUUGGUCUUACUUUGUCUAUAUUAUGUAAUCAUGCUCCAGUCAUUACUCUGUUUGGUAUGAACCCAAUACCUUAAGAUGCAUGCUGGAAAGCGGUCGAGGGAUGGAGUAAUAGUAGUAGAUGCAGAAUCGUUUCGGUCUACUUGUCAUAGACGUAAUGCCUAUGUACUGAUCUUGCCAUGAAUAAUAUCAUAACUAUGUGUUUUUCUAUCAAUUGCCCAACAAUAUUUGUGUACCCACUGUUGCUAUGUUCAUGAGAGAGAUGCCUCUAGUGAAAGCUAUGGCCCCCGGGUGCUCUGGACAAAAAUAAACAUCAUGAUGCGGUUAUGGAGCUAGCCAUGCGUGCAAAGACAAGCCAAUUCAGAUAAAAGUAAAAACCAGAUGGAAGCCACCAAAUAAGGGUGUCACUUAGAUCAAUGUUGAUACCUUCUAUCUGACCAUUUCUGUUGUGUUGCCUAAUCACAAACAGUUCAUCUAAGUGAACUAUAUGCCUUAUAUCACACACACCUUCAUCAAGUUGAUCGUUUCUAUUGCUAUGCUUAUCGUAAACAGUACAUUGGAUCAACUAUUUGCCACGUAUCGCACACGCAGCUCUAGUCGGAAUCGUGUUUGAUGUCUCCGCCAUCACAAACAAAUUGUAUCAUUUUUUACGGGUUUCUUACACCACAGUUUGCUAUUUAUGCAUCGCACAUAGUUUCGUUGAAGUGUCUCUGAUUGUAGUGUCGCAUUAGUAGCAUCUUGCAGCAGUGCUAGAAGCUUCCGGGAGAGGCCAGAAGCUCUACGAGAGAGCCACAAGCUCACAUGACGCGCCUCCAGGGGACGCACCACCUGAGCUUGUGGCCCCCUCGUAGGUUUGUUUGACCUAAUUCCAAGCCUAUAAAUUCCCUAAAAUCCAGAAACCUCCAGAGCGAGAAUCGAAACAAUUAUUCGGCCGCCGCAAGCCUCUGUUCUUCCAUGAUUCCAUCUGAAGGCCUCCGUCGGUAUUCUGCCGGAGGGGGAAUCAAUCACGGAGGGUUUCUACAUCAACUGUGCUAUCUCUCCGAUGAUGCAUGACAUCGUGAGUAGUUCUCAUUGGACCUAUGGGUCCAUAAGCGUAGCUCUCUCUCUCUCUCUCCCUCUCCACCUCUCCCCCCUCUCCCCUUCUCUUUGAUUUUCAAUACAAUGUUCUCUUCGGAGAUCGAUUCGAUGUAAUCCCUUUGUAGUGCGUUUAUUGAGAUUCGAUGAAUUGCGGUUUUAUGAUUAGAUUACUCAUUGAAAGUAAUUGGGUCACUUCUGAACUUUAUUAUGUGUGAUUGUUAUAGUUAUGUAAUGCUUUCUGAUAUGUGGGUUUUCUUUGGCCAAGUUGAUGAAUAGAUCUUCAGUGGAAGUGGUGCAUAGUAGUAGUUUCAAUCUUGCGGUGUUCUCACCUCGUGACCGAAGGGGUAGCGAGGCACGUAUUUGUAUUGUUGCUACUAAGGGUAAAACGACGGGGUUCGAUCAUAUUGAUUAGUCUUACUUUGUCUAUAUUAUGUAAUCAUGCUCCAGUCAUUACUCUGUUUGGUAUGAACCCAAUACCUUAAGAUGCAUGCUGGAAAGCGGUCGAGGGAUGGAGUAAUAGUAGUAGAUGCAGAAUCGUUUCGGUCUACUUGUCAUAGACGUAAUGCCUAUGUACUGAUCUUGCCAUGAAUAAUAUCAUAACUAUGUGUUUUUCUAUCAAUUGCCCAACAAUAUUUGUGUACCCACUGUUGCUAUGUUCAUGAGAGAGAUGCCUCUAGUGAAAGCUAUGGCCCCCGGGUGCUCUGGACAAAAAUAAAUAUCAUGAUGCGGUUAUGGAGCUAGCCAUGCGUGCAAAGACAAGCCAAUUCAGAUAAAAGUAAAAACCAGAUGGAAGCCACCAAAUAAGGAUGUCACUUAGAUCAAUGUUGAUACCUUCCACGUUGAAGCUACUCAGUUGGGUUCCACUGGCUUGGUCGGCGUGACAUAUCAGACUCAUUACUCCGCGCUCAAGCCCAAUAAUAUGAAUUUGCAACGGGAGCUAUGGAAUGGAAGUCCUUGCCUUACGAGAUGGAGACCAGCACCCGAUCGAUCAAGGAAUCCGCAAGAUGCACAUUAAAAAUGACGGUCAACAAGUUAUUAAGUUUUGAAAAUUGAUAAAUUUUGAUAGAAUAUUAGUAACAUGCAUUUUGCAGGAGAUUCAGGAGCUCAGUUCAAAUUUUCAAACCUUCUAAAUGAGAUACUCUCUUCGUUUUAAAAUAAAUGUCUCAACUUUGUAUUAACUCUAAUACAAAGUUGUAUGCUUAAUACACUUAUUUUAAGACGGAGAAAGUAUAUUAGUCGGCAGGGAUGUGAUUGCAGUGCCGCACACAUGUGCUAAACAAGCAAGUUAAUGUGGAGAAAGGUUUUUUUAAACGAACUGCAUUCCAUCUUUUCUCGCUGAUGUUCUGCAGCAUAUGAUUGUAAUCCUGGCUAAGCAUUAAUAAAGCUAAUUGAUUCGAAUCAGAAGAAAAGAAAAACAAACAAAAACACAGAGUUAGAGCAUCUCCAGCCGCGCCCUCAACAGACCUUCCCCAGGCGUUUUUGCCGUGCCGGCACCGAAAAAACGGCCCAGUCGCGCUCUCAGAAGCCUGUUUUUCGCCGGCUCGGAUCGAAACUGGUGUUGGCGGACCCAGGCCGAACCCGGCUUCCUGGGGCGCCUGGGACGCCGGCACAAGCGAAAAGGGCGCAUGGGUCCGCCCUGUCGGCGAGGCGAGCGUCUCUUCCCGCUGUUUUUUCCCGCGUUUUCCCCACUUCCCUCCCGCUCAUUCCUUCCGUCAAUCUCCCUCCCGCAGGGAUGAUGAAUCCACCCGAAAGCCACGCCCAGUACGCGCCCUGGGGCCAGCAAGGCAUCGUCUCUCCGCAGCCAUGGGGAUCGCCCUCGCCGGGCUACGCCGACGUGGACGCGCACGGUGGGUUCAACCCAAACGUCACCUUCCCCAUGGAUACGCGGCCCAGCGCACGCCCUCUCCCGCCUUCGCCGGCGUGCAGUACCCUCCAUACAACUACUCGCCGCCAGUCUAUGCUUCCUCCCCGACGCCCCCGCUACGCCGUGGCCCGCUGCCCUUCUCGCACCUCGACGACACCGAUGAGACCGAGGCCAACAUGGACGACAUCAUCGCGGCAGGUUCGGCCGCGGCCGCCGCGUCUCCCGGGUUCGUCACCCAGGACGAGGUGGUGGAUCUCAGUGGCGGCAUGGACGGCGAGCUCGGUUACGUCUACGGCGAGGAUGAGCAGCAGGAGCAGGAGGAGGAGGACGAGGAGGAGGAGGAGGAGCCGACGCCUGCGACGACGAAGGGGCGCAAGAAGAAGAAGCGGCGGCCAGAACAGGCGAGCCGCGCAUCAAGUGGGCGUCCAAGGAGGAGGAAUGCCUCGCCGAAGCAUGGAAAGUUGUCUGCCUCGACUCGACGACCGGCGCGAAGCAGAGCAUCGACACGUACUGGGACCGCAUUAAGGCCGAGUUCGACGAGCUCAAACUCGUCGACCCCUACUUCAAAGGCGUCUACAUGCAGCGCGGCUCCAAGGCGAUGGCGAACCAUUGGGGGCGUAUCCAGGGGGCGUGCAACAAAUGGCAUGGGGUCGUCGAGGAGGUCGCGACUCGCCCGGAGAGCGGCGCUAGCGUCGAGGAUCAGGUAUGCCACGCCGGCCUCCCGCCUCUCUUCGCCGUGUACGCGCGCCAACUGUUUGUUCCUCCGCGCAGUUGCGGCGCAUGUUCGCCCUGUACCGGCAGAGCAAUAGCGACGCCGAAUUCAAAUACCUCCCACGUUUACAAGCGCAUUGACAAGUGCGAGAAGUCGGCGGAAGUCCGGCGCACCCUCGACAAGGCCAAGGAGACCUACAAGCCGGACGCGCCGACUCCUGGCGCAUCGGAAGGGCGGCCGGACGACAACAAAGUUGCCAAGAAGGGGAAACACGCCGACGCGGCCACCGCUCGAGUGCAGGAGUCCAUCGAGCACUGCCUCGCCGACGCGCAGACCCGGGCCGUUCUUCGUGAAGAGAAGACCGAGGCGUGCUGGUCGGCGUUGAUAUCGAGCAGCGCCGUCAAGCUCGACCUGCUCCGGACGGACGUCACCGCGAAGAAGAGAAACACCGACCUGGCUUUUCUGCUGGGCGGGGCGGACAUGCUCCAGAGCACCGACGAGGCAGUCAAGGCAUGGUACUUGGCAGAGCGCGACCUCAUUUUGAACCAACUUCCCUCGACAAGGCCGCCCCCGCCGACGCCGACGCCGACGCACACGCCAAGCCCGAGUGAUGACGCCUCCACGCCGCCGCCCAGCAGCACCGAAGCCGCGCCGACACCGCCCAGCACCGAAGCAGCUCCGACACCGCCAAGCCCGCGCACGCCGACUCCGCCGACACCUGAAGCCGACCCCGUCGAGUGAUUCGUUGCGCAGGCGAACUUGCGGCGCUCUGUUUUUUGUACGCUAGAUUACAUCCGAUCGCCGAACUGUGACUUGUGAUCGCCGGAUUUGUGACGUCUUUUAUAAUGAGCGGGAACGACCAAGUUCAAAUUUUCCGCAUUCUAGGACCGGCGCUUGAGGACGUGACUGAGAGCUAGGUUGCCCCCACGAGCCGAGCUAGCGUCGGUUCGCCUCCAGGACGCUCUUUUUAGGUGCCUGGGGGCCGAACGGCUGGAGAUGCUCUUAGCUCCCUGUACAAGUCUCGCGUCGGGUCAUCGUUGCUUCCAGCGACACAAGAGACGGGUAGGGUUCCUUGCGGCCGAAGCGGCCACGCACGCACCACACCACAACUUAGACAGUCCACCCGCCGCCUCGCGGCUCCAAAACCCUCGCCUCACCCCCGCCCCCCUAGGGUUCGCCUCGCCUCGCAGCGCCGCGCCGCCGCAGCCAUGGGCUCAUCGCUCCCGGCCAAGGAGGCCAACCUCUUCAAAGUCAUCGUCGUAAGCACCCCGCCCCUCGCUUCUCCCCUCGGUACUCGAAUCGAUCUGUUCGGCCUCUGAAUCCGCUGCUCCGUAGCCGCGCUCCGCUCGAUUCGACAGUCUGGAUGCAGCCAAGCGAUUGGAGAUGCUCUAGGGGAGUGGCCGUGCGCAGGGGUUUCGUUGCCUAGGUGAUUGCUCGGGUCGUUGGGUUGGUGUCUGGCCGAGGUGAAGCUUUGAUUUGCGAGGGUUAGAUCAGUAGGUGUCUCAGAGAAGCUUUUGCUUGGGAGACGGUCGUUUCGCCAGUAGAGUGGCUAGUUUGCUUCACAGUUGGGGUCGACAUGUACUUUAUCCCGCAAGGCUGACUUUGUGAAGUUGCUGGUGCUAAAAGCCAAAUAUAUCAUGUAUUCUGGACCUUAUUGGUAUCUGUUGUUCAAUCACAGCAAUGAAUUCAGUGUCAUGUUAUAUCUAAUCUGACAUCAACUCCUUCUUGUAGUUUCAUGUUAAUAAAUUUUAUCUUGUCAUGUGAACUUGCAUCUUAACAUUGUCCAGUAGCAUUCGGUGAUAGCUGAAAGGCCAAUACUGGUCGCCGGUUGGAGUGUUACUAUAUUGGCCUGUUGAACCUUUUAUCCUAGCUAUGCAGGAGGGAUACAACAUUGAACAUUUUAUAGUACCUGGGGUUUCUUGUUUAGUGUUUUGAUCAUUUGAGUGUAUUUCUGAUAACACUUUUAUAGAACAGUUAAAAGUUACAAUAAUUUGCACUGUAGACAUGCAGACAGUUCAACUUUUGAGUCUUGCAUGAUUCUGCUUCAUACCGGGAUUGCAUGUAUAUCUACUGUGGCAUAAUGUUAUGUUCCCCUCUUAACAUUCCGUACUCCCAAGUUUCUGAUGUUUUAUGGUUGCAUGCACAGAAAUCAUAUGAAACUAAGCAGUAUAAGAAAGGGCUGAAGGCCGCAGAUUCCAUAUUAAAGAAGUUUCCCGAACAUGGAGGUCAGAAAGAUAGCAUUUGAUUUUGUUCAACCUUUUGUGUUACUCUCUUGCUCCAUGCAGCCUCCUCUGAUCGCAUACUACUUUGUCUCGUUUCUUGUAGAAACUUUAUCGAUGAAAGGUUUGACACUAAAUUGUAUGGAUCGGAAAUCUGAAGCAUACGAGCUUGUUCGCCGUGGCUUGAAGGUUCUUAAUCACAACAGAUUUAGUCCAAAUUUUGUUUUGUGACGAUUAAGUUGAUUAUAAAAAUGUAACUGAUAUGUAUCGAUCGAAUUAAACAUUUGCAGAAUGAUCUGAAGAGUCAUGUGUGCUGGCAUGUGUAUGGUUUACUUUACAGAUCAGAUAGAGAAUACAGAGAAGCUAUAAAAUGUUACAGAAAUGCUUUGAGGAUCGACCCAGACAAUAUUGAAAUUUUGCGUGAUUUGUCACUUCUCCAGGUUGGUACGACAAUCCAUUGCUUUCCCCCCUAUUUUCUGGGUAAACCAAUUCACACCUAACAUAUAGCUGCAUUCAACUUAACUCCCCCCGCCCCCGCGGUCAUGUAAUGCUUCAUCUAUUGUUCAUCAUUGGUGAAUUGGCCAAUAAGCAUGUGCACAUAUUUGGAUUCCAAACAUUUGAUUUUGUCGAGCUCUUAGUACUGGAUAAGUGAAACCAACUUUUGUGUUGGACAUUUUUUUUGUUACCAGUAUUGGUAACAUUACAUGGCACUCCUAGCAUUACAUGAAACUUGUUUUUCAGUGAUAUGACGUGAUAGAAAUAAAGGUUUUCUGCCUUCCAGCGAAUGAAUCUUAUUUUUUCUUUUUCACAGGCGCAAAUGAGGGACUUGUCUGGCUUUGUUGAGACUAGACAACAGCUUCUGACAUUAAAGCCGAACCACCGCAUGAACUGGAUUGGCUUUGCCGUAUCUCAUCAUUUGAGUUCCAAGUAUGCCACUUUCUUGGUUAUGUUGAGUUGAUCUAGAUCAAUCAAUUAAACCGUAUGACCAGUUGAGCAAAUAGGGCCUGGGACUCCAGCUCAAUUCAUAUGUUAAACAUAGAAUGAUAAAAUUCCAGUACCAGACGUUACUAUUUGAACCUCUUUUGAAUUCAAGUAAGAUCUUGUGUGAUCUGCCACAUGUCAGCAUUAAGUAUGGACCAACUUUGGAUGCCUAUAAUGCAUCGUCUAUUGAAUUGCUGCCAAAACAGCAUAGCAUAAUGAAUGCACAUAAUGCCACAUGUGUACUUUUUUGGCAGAUCAAUAGUAGUAUAUUUUUAUCUUACCUUCUUGCUAUAUCAGUUGUGAGGAUUUUCUCGCAUCAUUAUUCACAAGCUGCGUACUAUUGCAUGUAUGGCAGGCUGUAACCUUUGUGAUACGAAAAUUCACCACUAAUAUCGUUGUUUCUGGUACCCACCUGCAGCUCUUCAAAGGCAAUAGAAGUACUGGAGGCAUAUGAGGGGACACUGGAAGAUGAUUAUCCCCCAGAAAAUGAGCGGUAUGAGCAUGGUGAAAUGCUUUUGUAUAAGGUAUACGUCUCUCCCUUUCCUGAGCCAGCAUUGCAGUACCAGUAAUAAUGUAUUGGUUUACUUUAAGCGUACAGUGAACUCUUAUCAUAAUUCCCGACAGAUCAGUUAUCAAUAGCAUCCUAUGUGUUUGUCAUAUCAUGGUUUGGUUAUUGUUAAACCUGUAUGUAAUUGCUGACAUAGUGCUCUCAAAAGAAAUCUUUGGGAAUGGUUUAUAAGCAUUCUGUAAUACUGAUGCUACAGUACUACUUGCUGCCCAUCUCUUUGAACCCGGCUGUUUUUUUUGCUUUGUUAAUUUUGUCCCAUCUGGAUUUUCUUUACAUGUCGAGUUACCAUACUUAUUAGUAUUUUUGGUGUAACGUUCUUUCUGUGUGCAUUAUAUUAGUUCUAUUACUUUACCCCCACUUUCUCGUGCUAGAUAAAGUUUGUUGUCUAAAUCAGUCAAUUCAUAUCUAGUACCUUUUCUUACUUCAUCAAACAAAGAAUAUACAAUAGAUUUAAGUUGAACAUAUGGAGGUGAUAUGUAUAGUCUAAAAACAAUCCUUCAUAACUAUAACAUCAGUAAUCUUUACAGAAAUAGUGAAAGUAGAAUAACUGGUCAAAGUUGUGCUGUGGGCUCCAUGCCAAUUUCUCAAAUGUCACUUGUGACUGGAGGAAGGACAUGGUUUCAGUGUGCUAUAUAAUUAUCUGUCUUCAACCUUUCCCUGCUCCACCCUUAAUUUCAAAGCUUUCUUCAUGCUCUAACUCAAGAAAUAGCUUACAUUAUUUGACUAUUCAUUGCUAUUAUUGUUGCACAGAUAUCGUUGCUUGAGGAAUGUGGGAUGCUGGACAGAGCCCUUCAGGAGAUGCACAAGAUGGAGAGUAAAAUUGUAAGUUGUAUCUUUCUAUGUUUGAAGGAAAAAAAGUAGAACUGUCUGUAACAUGUUCGCUUCUUGAAUUUUGUCUGCUAGGUUGAUAAGCUCUCAUUCAGAGAACAAAUGGCCUGCAUUUUGUUGAAACUUGGCCGUUUUGAGGAGGCAGAGAAAAUAUAUAGGUCCCUCCUUUUUAUGAAUCCUGAUAACUACAAGUAAGUUGCUUGUACUCAUUCUCUCACGUGUCUUUGUUGGUAGUUUAUGUCUAUGUACUUAUGCUGCCAUUUUGUUUACAUGUUAUGUUUAUUUUCGUCAACUUACAUAGGUACCUGUAUUUUAGGUGCUGUUGUCAUUCAUAGGAUACCUUUAUUUAGGACCUAUUAUUUUUUAACCAGCUUAAAUUUUAUCACUAGACAUGCGUUUAGAAAGCUUUGGUGAAUUGCCAUCUUACCGUAUUAUUUUCAUGUAUGUGACCUAGAUAGCAUUUUAUUGUAACCAGAUGCAAAUUUAAUCUUAGCCGAUUGAGCAAUUCGACCAACUACAGUACUUGUAUUCUGAUGUUGGUUACAAUUGAUCGUCUUCCUCCACAUACACAAUGUCUGUGUGGCAAAACUUUGCAUACAGUUGAUUAACCUCUCUUCCGCAACUGGCUCACACCUAAACCCUAACCCUUCUAGGCUUAAAUGUUGGUAUUUUUGAUUCGGCAGGUGAUAUUAAUCUCCCUCGUAACAUAAUGCAAUAAGAGCCACACGUUCGUGAUAAAAGGGAAACUAUCACAAAAUUUGACCUAUAAGUCUAAUGCCAGCUGGGUUCUGUAACUAUUUUCUAUGUUAGCAACUUAGAAUAAAAUACUAUACCUCACUGCAUUGUGUAUACAGUCCUGGCUGGUAUGGUCAACCUACUUCUGAUACUCUAGAAUUGGUCGUUGCCCUGUUCUAUUCAGGUACCUCAUAGCUGUGCAGAAGUGCCUUGGCCUAUACUCUGAAAAUGGUCAUUAUUCCGCUGAUGAUGUUGAACGAUUAAGUGCAUUAUAUAAAUCACUCAAGGAAGAAUAUAGUUGGUCAUCGGCUGUUAAGGUAAACCAUCUAAAAUUGUAAUCUCAUUUGCAUUGAUACCAGUUUUGUUGGUUCUUCCUUAUAUCCAUGGUUGAGACCUUUGUGGACACUGCAAAAUUUACCCUUGAUGCAGGCAUACAUCAUUUUGUUUUGCAUUUUCAUGAUAAUAUUUUGUUUUACAUGCGAAGUUAAAUGUUAUUUUCUCAUCCGUAUUGACUGUAAGUAGGCCAUAUAACCACCAACUUAUUAAUCUAAGUUUUUCUCAUACCCUCCGUGCAACAGCGCAUACCUCUUGAUUUCCUAGAAGGUGAGAAAUUCCAGGAGGCAGCAGAUAAUUAUGUCAGACCACUAUUAACCAAGGUAAUCAUAUAAUUUUAAAGUGAUGGUUUGUUAGUACCUCGAAGGUGUCUCGUGGUCUCUGGCUGUGUGUGUAACAUGUUGCCUUAAGAUUUUUAUUGGGUUUACUGGGAGCAUGCUGUUACUCAUUGUUAUUGCUGAUUGUAAUGUGUCCCAUAUCUUUUAGGGAGUGCCGUCACUUUUCUCUGAUUUAAGCCCGCUUUAUGAGCAUCCUGGCAAGGUAACACAAGCUAUACUAGUCAACAGCAUUUUCUUUUUCUUAUUUCUUGUUUGUGCUACAAACCAUUUACAGAAAAUUGUUAAUCUCAUUAAUAGGCAAACAUAUUGGAGCAAUUAUUUCUUAAGCUAGAAGAUUCAAUUAGGACUUCUGGAUGCUUUCCUGGAAGGUAAUCUUUUUUGCCUGGUCAUUAUUCUCAGUUUUAUCAUUCUUCCCAUAUCCUCAUUAGUGUUAUUGAUCACAGCUCAUCUUAAACUGUAAAAUUAUUGCUUGGCACCUUUAUCGGGCAAAACUUGAUAUCAGGUUAUGAAUUUUUUGUUACCAAACUGAGACCGUUUUCGAUUUUUAGUCAACUUAGCGAACAUGUAUGUAGUAGCACAACAAUAUGGUUAUAUGCUUCUACUGCAAUAUUAGGUUAAUUAACUUAGCUGCUCGUCACUUAGUUGGCAUCUUUAAAGAUGCAAAAAGCCGAAAAAUAAUGUGCUAGAAUCUGCCUGGAAGGGGUAUCUAGAGGAAUUUCUCUGCAAGGCAUCUUAUCAACCAUUCUUACACAAGGAACAAUGAUGCACGUGAAACUUGGUAUGGUUGAUGUAUGCCAAAUUGUGCAGAAUUUUGAUGCUGCCAGAACUCCUAUACCGUUCUCGGCUAUAAUGCAGCAAAUUGUAACUUGAAAGUGUUCUAUCAUUCUUUUCAAGCAUGUGGCUUCUUAAAAAACCCGCUACCUAUCAUACUCCUUGGAAGUAGUCAUGUGUUAGCACUAGCCAUUGCUAGUUUGAGCUGUCCCUGAACCUGUAGUUUUGACUUAAUCUGUAAAUUGUCACGUAUUUCUUUAACGGUUUCUCCCUGCAGUUCGCAGAUGGAACCUCCAUCCACACACAUGUGGACUCUGCUGUUGGUUUCUCAGGUUAGCAUUUGGUGUGAACACCUGCAUAUUACCUGAUAAACCACCGAGUUAUUUUCAAAUAUAUCUUUUGAAGUUGCAUCAUUAUGUUUGUCACAUGUCAUGAUGCAGCACUAUGACAGAAGGAGCCAGUAUGAUAUUGCUCUGGAUAAAAUUGACGAGGCCAUUUUACACACGCCAACUGUCAUUGAUUUGUACUCCAUAAAGGUAAAUUCUCUCCCCAUGCGCAAUUGUGUUUUCCUUAGUAUGCAAUUAAGCAGCAUCACCAUUUCUCCAAUAUAGGAUUUCCUGUAAAUUUCAGUUCUUUUGAACUGAAAUUUCAUUCUUACUUAAAUGGUUUCGUUUGGUGCCAAUUGCUAGUUUAAUACAACCUCUGUAACUUAAUGUAAGACAUUUUUGCAGUUUAAGUUAAACUGCAAAAACGUAGUUUAAGUUAAACUGCGAAAACGUCUUAUCCUAAUUUUUGACAUUUCUGUAAUCUUGCACUGCUGGUUUGGUCUUUCUUUGGAUCCCCCUCCUCCUCUUUAAUAAUGAAAUACCCAACAUAUUUCUGCUGCAUUCUCCUAAAAAAGGAGUUGUUUACCCUUGCUAACCAUUUCUUGUCUUACCUUUCCAAUCUGCAAAAUUUCUUUCUCCAAUCUACUGGUCUUACACUCGUACUUUUUUGCUCUUCUCGCCCCCUCUAAAUAAUAUUCCCAGAAUAUAAGGUGCACAUGCUUUUCGAGAUAAAACUUUGACCAUCAAUUAUACCAAUAAUACGUAAAUCAUGUUACUGAAGAAUUAUACCAUUGAAAACUUCUUUCGGAUACAAAUUCAAUGGUGUAUUUUUUAUGACAUAAAACCCACAUUUCAUUGGUUAAAUCUAUGGUCAAACUUAAAUCUUGAAAAGCAUGUGCACCUUCUAUAUUAUGGAACGGAGGGAGUAGUAACUUCUCUUACUUUGUUCACCGUACAUUGUGUUUAGAUGGCAUAAUUCUCUGUAAAUAAAUCUGCUAGUGCACCUGCUUUAUUUCAGGGGAAUAUUUUGCAACAUGCUGGCAAUUUUUCUGCAGCAGCAGCAUUAGCGGAUGAAGCUAGGUCCAUGGACCUUGCUGAUCGUUAUUUAAACAGCGAGUGUGUAAUGCAGAUGCUUCAAGCUGAUCAGGUAUAUUCAGUUAGAAACACAACUACUUUUUUGCACGGUUCCGCUGAUGUAAUAGUAAAACAGACACCGGCGAACCUUUUGUCAGCAAACACUACACAUUUAACUGCUUAUUUUGUGACUUGUGAAGGUCGGGCUAGCUGAGAAGACUGCUGUCUUGUUUACAAAAGAUGGAGAUCAGCACAAUAAUCUCCAUGACAUGCAGUGCAUGUGGUACAUGCUUCCCUCCCUCCACCAUUAAGUGUCUAUUUUUUUCUUCACUCUCUAAGUCGAUGAUCUCUUUAAGGUAUGAACUUGCUUUUGGCGAGAGUUAUUUUCGUCAAGGUGAUCUUGGCCGGGCUCUGAAAAAUUUCUUAGCUGUUGAAAAGCAUUACACUGAUAUGACUGAAGAUCAGUUUGACUUCCAUUCAUAUUGCUUGCGGAAGAUGACACUUCGGGCGUACGUUUCUAUGCUGAAGUUUCAAGACCGUUUGCAUGCUCAUGAAUACUUUCACAAGGCUGCUGCAGGGGCUAUCAGGUAAUGGUUCCUAUUGGUCUGUCUAUCAAUUAUUUUGUACUUCCCUUCAGAGAUUUUUCUAAAGCUAUUGUUAAAAAUUGUAGGUGUUACAUGAAAUUACAUGAUUCUCCAUUAAAAUCAUCUGCUGAGGAGAAUGAUGAGUUGUCAAAACUGCCAGCUGCCCAGAGGAAGAAGUUGAGGCAAAAACAGAAGAAGGCAGAAGCUCGAGCUAAAAGGGUAACCUCCAGAACUUUGUUUUAGAUGUAUCACUGCUAAGUCUGUCUUAAUUUGCCCUUAAAUCUCCCCAGGAGGCUGAAGAGAAACAAGAGGAUGAAACAACUUCAACCAACAGUUCGAAAUCUGGGAAGAAACAACAAGCAAGGCCAGUUGAUUUGGACCCACACGGUGAAAAAUUGGUCCAGGUAUUCUUUUUCUAUGUGAUCAGUUGUACUCGUAGUAUUGUACUUUUAGAAACAUUAGUUUUUAUCUUUUUAGGUCAUUGAAUGAUUUCGUCUUCAUUUUAUGCAUUUCUGUUUCCAGGUUGAAGAUCCACUUGCAGAAGCCACAAAAUAUUUGAAGCUUCUGCAGAAUAACUCGUCAGAUUCAUUAGAAACUCAUAUACUUUCAUUUGAACUGAACAUGAGAAAGCAAAAGGUUUUACUCGCUUUUCAGGUAUGGUAUUAUGCACCUCAUUUUGGGGGAUAUCCCAGUCUUCUGUUUUUUUCCUUUUCUUUUGCUGGAAAUAAAUUCUACCCCAUUAAGAAUUUAAGAUAUGGUAUCGCUUGAUUAUAAUUGAGAGAGCAUCUGUUGCUUUCCUUAUAUUGUUGAUAGACUGAUGCUCAUCUUUCCUACAUCAUGUUUCUUUAUGAUGCCAUUGGAUUACCUGCCGUUAUUGCUUAGUUGGUGUAUGUGGGGUUGUGGAAGAUGAAAACCGAGUGAUCUGCACAUUAAAAAUAGCACUGCGUAGUGCUUUGUUUGAAGUGGAAAUUGUUUCAUUCGUUGAAGAUGUUCCUAAAUAUACCGCCUUUAAGCAUUAGGUUUUGCAGCAAUAUAUUAGUUAUUUCUUAAUAUUUCAGAACUUUUAUGACAGAUGUACUAAUAUUACUUCUAUCAGAGCAAUUGUGGUAUACAAAGCUUACCUGCAAACAUUUUUUUUACGGGAAAGUUUACCUGCUAACAUAAUUAUCUACUCCCUCCGUAACUUAAUAUAAGAUGUUUUUUGACACUAUUGACACUAUUGAUAGUGUCAAAAAUGGUCUUAUAUCAAGUUACGGAGGGAGUACUUAGGAACAGAUGCAGUAGUGUUUAAAAGUUGAACUAGAUACACUAUCUUAAUCUGUUAUAUAGGCUUCUUAGUUUUCUUUAUCUAUCUCUUGUCACAGGCGGUCAAGCAGCUCAUUAAAUUGGACGAAAAUAAUCCAGACAGUCACCGAAGUUUGGUAAGCAUCCAAAAUUGCACCUUUGAUUUUUCUAUCAAAAUUCGGAAUGCCAUAAAAUUAUUUUUCAUUUUUAUUUAUGAGUGCGUCAAGAUCAUUUUAUCUAGAGGUCUGGUUUGGCUGUGCAUAUUUAUCUAUAUUCCGUUAGCCUGAGAUUGGCACUAUAAAUCUGGAUAUUUGUUUGGAAGCAACACAGUUUGUUUACCUUUGUUGGGUUUAUUCUUUUAUUUGUGUUGCUAUAAGGAGUCAGACCAUAAACGCUGGGUGCACUUUGUAUUUAGCAGUGCCUUUUGAACUGAGUUUUUCUCUUGGUUUGGAUGGAAGAAGUUGGUGAGCCGAACCCUGUACAACGUUUUACUGGUGUAUACUCUGCAGAUGAUGUGCUGAGUAACUGCCCUGUAAGGAAUGACCAUUAUAUUACAGGAAUAAUUGCUUUUGUAACGCUAAAAUUCUUCUGGAGGAUAUAACUUGUUCAAUUCAAUGAAAUCUACAAAGUAUGUUUGUUGACCAAUUGCAUAAACCACAAAUGGAAUCCUCUUUUAGGAAAUGGAUGACUAGGAGUUUAUUGCCACUAUAUAUGACCUAGUGCUUACCUUUUAGCUUCUAAUCUGUUUAGGUUAUUGUUUGUUGUCGAGAAUUUAGUAUUGCUUUGUUAGCAUUACUAUUACUAUGCUUGGAGUGUAUUUAGCAUGUGUUAAUAUGGAAUGUGUACAUAUUGUUCAUAUUUCAUUUAUUUUUUUAUCAUGAGCUGACUGUUAGCAAUAAAUAUAUUCAACUUUGUUCUUUAUUUUAUUUGCAGAUAAGAUUCUUCCAUAGGAUAAACAAUCUUCCGGCCCCAGGAACUGAUUCUGAGAAAUUAAUAUGGAACGUUCUGGAAGCUGAAAGACCAGAUCUAAGGUUCUGAGAUGGUGAUUAAUUUUAUCAGUAUGCAUUUACUCCAGUUUAUCUGACCAGCGAGUUCUUGCAGGCAAUUACACGGGAAAUCUCUUGUUGAAGUAAAUAUAAACUUCCUUGAAAAGCACAACGGUAAUUAUCUUCAUUUUUCGGUUUAUGGACCUUUUCUUGACCACGAAUUUUACUAACUCAAAUCGUUCUUUGCUAGCUUCUUUGACACACAGAGCAGCUGCAGCUGAAAUGAUGUACCUCUUGGAGCCGGAUAAGAAGCUGCAGGUGAUUAAAUUAAUUGAAGACUCAACAAAUAACACAGCAUCAGGGUAAAGAUAUGGAAGAAGAAUAUGCCUCUGAUUUUAUUCACUUGCUGUGUACAUAGUAUUUAUAUCAUCUGAACUUUCUGCAGAAAUGGUGUGCUUGGUCCCAUUAAGGAAUGGGGCAUUCAAGAUUGUAUUGAUGUUCAUAAAUUGCUGGAUACUGUUUUUGCUGAUCAGGAUGUUGCAAACAGUAAGUUCCAAUAUGGCAAUGCCCAAAUUGUUUAUUUUCACCUUACAUUUAUGUUUUUGAGGGCAAUGGACAAGUCUUCUCUUUCUGCUGCUAUAAUAUGUUGGUUGCUAAAAUGAAUACAUAUAUUUGAGAAAAACCGAUUACUUGCAAUACUGAACUGCGCUGGAUGCUGGCCUGGUAUGGUUUGCCUGUAUACCGGGCCAAUAGAUUCUUAUUUUUAGUUAUAUAUUGUCAGGAUUAACCUCGGUAUCUCUGCAGGGUGGAAGGUACGCUGUGCUGAAUAUUUUCCUUGCUCAACCUACUUCGAAGGCGCGAAAAGUGCUAUUACUGCACAUAUUCCCGGCAGUACUUCCGAGAGUUCACCAGAAAAUGGAGAUGUACCAAGCCCACAAGCAAAACUUGAGGGAGACAGACACAGUUUGAAUGGGACCGUGCAUGUUGUGGAUGAUCUGAGCAACCUUAGCAUGAGGUAAAUGCGCCAACUAGUUGCUGCCUGGUUACAGCUGGAACAGAAAUAUAUUUGGAACUGGAGCCAGUGCCCAACUAACCAAAGUGCACGGCAAGAUAUCCAAGUGGGAAUGUGUUUUGUGCGCAGUGAUUAACUUGAUGCAUUCAUUUGAAGAGUAUAUUAUUGAUUGGGAGUUGAGAUCUCUUCAAUCUCCGGUGAUUAUCUCUGUUCCAGCUUUUGUACCUUUUCGUUGUCAUCUUACAUAUGGUGGAAGGCCAAAACCUUUCAUCCCAGUUACAAUGGGGCUUCGCCAGGGUUUGUUGCUUGGCAGCAACAGGAUGUUACGAUUCUUUUGUCGAAGCCGAUCUUGAAUUUGUUGCCUGGUGGUUCUUUUUGUCGCAGAUAGCUACCUGCACGCUUGUUGGACUACAACAAUUUUUGGCAUAAAACAGUUGUUAAUCUCAAACUUUUGUGAACCAUGAUGUGUUGUUUGCAGUAGUUGGAUGUACUGGGGGUUGCUCUACUUUUGCAACUUUUGGUCCCCAUGGUUGUAAAUUAGCCAAGUUAAUCCUGGACAUUGAUAUUGUAUUUCGGUCUGUCCAGACAAAUAAUCGUCAAUGUUAACUGAGUUCUUUUCUUCCACAUGCGUAAUACACAUUUGGUGAAAUUU
rnacentral:lncRNA from 1 species